UAAGAAGAGCUUUUAAGGUUUGGUUGAGGGUGAAGGGUCAAGAGCCAAGCCAAAAAGGGGAAAGCCUAAGACGAAGGCCAAGGCUGCCCCAAGUUGGCUAGACACUGCACAAGUACCACGACCACUUUCACGACCAGUGGUCUUGACCACAGUCCGUGAAAGGGCUCGUGAAGGUCCCUUAGGCAUGUGUGAGGCAUGUCAUUUAAGCCUAGCCACUGCCUAGGAACCACGACUUUCACCACGACUCAUGGUCUUGACCACGGAGCGUGGGAGGUGUCAUGGUCUUGCCAUAGCAUUGUGGGAGCCUAGAGUGCAAGAAACACCAUCUAGACACUGCCUAACCUUAACACAAGGUUCUUCACAACCCGUGGUGCCACCCAUGGUGGCAAGACAAGCCAAGGCACCCUUCACGAGCCACUUCACGACUCGUGGUCAUGACCACAGAUCGUGGGAAGGCUCGUGGGAAGGCUCGUGGGGUGGCCUUAGCUUGGUGGGAGUGGUGCAUGAUUGAGGAGGCUACUGCCUCAAAGAACACGGUCACCACCAUGAGACGUGGUGCCCUAGACGGUCCGUCAACUUGGGUGUGAAGCUUACUUAGACUCAAGGGAAGCAAGGAAGCUUUCACUAGCUACUGCCUCCAUGACCACGAGCUUCACCAUGACUCAUGGUCUUCACCACAGAUCGUGGGUGCUCAUGUGGUCCUCCCUAAUUUCUUGAGGGCUUGUGAGGGUGGAGAGGCACACUGGUCAAGGGACCACGGGCACCAUCACGAGCAUUGGUGCCCCUCACGACCCGUACAAGUGGAAGUGGUCCCUGAUGGGACUUCCCAAAAUUGGGGUAAUUAAGUAAUUUAUCUUGGUUUAAUUAUUAAGUGGGGUUGAUUUUAAGUGGUUUAUAUUAUUAUUAUAUAUGGUUUUAAGUCUUUUAACAAGUCAUUUACCCCUUAUUAACCCAAAACCCAAAUCAAAACAAAAGAGUUCCUCCUUUAAAAAAUCCUCUCUCUAAAACUCAAGGAAGAAGAAGGAAGCCAUUGAAGCUUGGGUAUGGGCGAUUUCAAGGUGUUUCUUCCUCAAUUUUCAUCGGUAUUCAACAGAAAGGUAUGGUAGUCUUCAUCCUUGUCUAACUUUUCAUUCAAGGAGCCAAUUCAGAGGAGAUUUCAAACUAUGAAAAUUUAGGGUUUUACUCAAAUUCAUGGGUCCUUUCAUCAAACAAUUUCAAAAGGUUUUCAAUAUAAAAUUAUGAUUUUUUUAGUGUUUAAUUGAUGAUUUAUGAUGAAAAUACUCUAUGAACCCAUGAAUUCUCUUAAUUUCUAAAUUGUACCUUUAUGAGGUGUGUUUUGGUGAUUAUGAAGGCUUAUGAAUGUAUUGUGUCUAAAAUACUUUGGGUUAUUUAAAUGUAUCAUUAUGUAUGUCUCAAUUAUGAUAAAUUGAAGAUUUUUUGGUGAAUUAUGAUCAUGGCCAUGAAAGGGCAAGUUAUGGCUAACUUCUUGUUGAAGUAGAAUUAUAUUUGAACUAUUGAUCCACUUGAAAGGUGGACGUGUUUACUUACUAUGCAUGUUGUAAUUAUGGCCUUGUAAGGCAAAGUGUGAAUUAUCAACGUAUAUUAUGAUGAGAACUAUAGGUGUGUGAUUAUUAUUAAUGUGUUAUGAACAUGUUUAGAAGGCAAUUGUAUGUAUGAUAAUGUUAUAUGUUAAAUGAUAUUCUCACAUACUCACACACACUCAUGCACGACUAAUGAAUGAAGUUCUAUGAUAAUGUUAACGAAUGUUGAGUCUAUUGAAAGGCUAUUCUCAAUUGUACUCUAACAAAUGAAAAGACAUGUUAUGAAAGGACUUUAUCACAAUAUGAGAUUCUUAGGUGAAAGGCUAUUCUCAUCUUUGAAUCUAUGAGCUUGCCAAUGAAUGAAUGUUGGGUUAGGGAUGGGUACUCAUCCAUGAGUUGAGGCGGAGUACCUAGUAACAAUCUCUUGUCCCCUAAUGAAUUAACGUAAUGAAUGUCAAAUACUCUGUGGGGAAUAAUGCCAAGCACCGAGUGGAUAUGGAUUGAGAUGAGUGCUCAUCUGUGAGUUGAGGCGGGGUACUUAGUAGCAAUCUCUUGAGGUGGAUGCUCAUCCGUGAGUUGAGGUGGGGUAUCUAGUAGCAAUCUCCCUAUCCCAUAAACUAUGUGCCCACAUAGGUCUAGCUAGUGGAUCCACUUAAGCUAUAAAAAUGAUGGUCCUACCUUAGGCAAGUAGGAAUCCCUUUAUCCGAGGAGGGUGACACCGACAUUCCAUGUUAAGCUCUCAUGGUCUAUGUCGGUUAAGGCUUACCCCCACAAUGAAUGUUAAUGAACUAUGGCUUCUUAAGGAUGUACUACUUAGUGUGGGUAGUGGUAUGGGACACCAUCUAUGAAUUGCACAAGUAGUCAUUUGAGAGGAGUCAUGGUGUGUUCCUUAUAAUGUUAAUGAAUGAAUGGCUCUAAUGAUUAUGUUAAUGAAGGUGUUGACCUUAUGUUUAAUGAAUGAAGGUGUUCUUAAUGAAGUUAAUGAAUGGUGACUUAAAUGCUUAUAUGUUAAAUGUUAAUAUGCAUGCCUUGCUUGGAUUGUAUUACUUCCUUGUUAUGCCUUGUUAGGGUAUGAAUGUGCCUAGUCUAGGGUAACUUCAAAGGAGCACUUAGUGUGAGUAGUAGUAUGGGAUGCUACUUGCACAUUGCACAAGUGUGACUUAGAGUUAUCUUAGGUGAUGGUUCUUAUGUGAUGAUUAUGUCUUAUGUAAUGUGUAUGUCUCUUAUGUAUGACAAUAGUGUAAUGAUGGAAAGGUUGUAUGGUGAGUUCACCUUUGGUGACCUUAAGGUGAUACUUUGGUAUGGAUGGUGGUAUGGGACGCUAUCCAUACAUUGCACUAAGUGUUGCUUGAGGAUUACUUGAGGGGAAAGGUUAAGAUAAAGGAAAUGGUGUGUAUAUGUUGAGCAUGUUAUAAUGUGAAUAAUGACUUGGAUGUUGGUUAUGUUCGAAUAGUAUGCCUAUUAUACUUGUAUGCAUGAAGUUUUAUCAAAAUGGCAUAAAAGCAUGACUUUCAAACAAAUGUCCUUCUAAGCAUGUUUUUGCAUGGCUAUCAUACUUAGUACUUAAUUGUGCUAAUCCAUAUCUUCUUUCAUGUUUUACUACAAGUGUAGGUUCCGGCAAGUGAUUUGACUCUAUCUAGUGAAGCUUGGAGUAGAGUUCCUCCAAGACAUCUUUUGGUAUGUCCUCAUAGAUCGAGGACAAAGACUUUUUAUGUUUCAUUUCAAUUCAUGUUUUAAGACUAUUGUUAAGAAUUCGAUUGUAAAGGGCCGUGUCCCUAUCUUGUUUAAAGUUUGUAUAAGAUGGCCAUGUGAGACUUUAGUAGUCCGCUGCUUAUAAAUGAGUUUUAGAUUGUUGGGUUUAUUAAAGAAAAGAUUUUAAUUUCAUACUAUUUUCAUUAUUGAAUGCAAUGAAGGAUCAUGAGGCUUGUAUCAAACCCCUUCGGGGUCGAGUACGCCAUGUUACGACUAGGGAUUCUCUCGGGUAGUGACAAUACAUUCCCAAUAUUUUGCCAAAAAUCAAUUUUAUAAAUGAUUCUGCGACGCUAGUCGGGGUUUGCCAAGCAUGAUUGGUGACUCCCUCACUCCUCAACUUGCCGUGUGAUUCUCUAGGCUUCAGGUGUUUGAACCUUAGUUGGCAAACUCGAAUGAGUCAGCCUUUCACAUUCAACAAAUAACCGAAUAGCACCUUAGUCUGUUGUUUGACGAUUAAAUCUUUGCCUUGCACAUUGUCACUUUGGACGAUGAACGUCAGGACCGUUGUUCUAACUUGGCAUAUCGCCUCUCCUACUGGAGUUCUGCAACAUUAUUUGGUAGACACAAGUGCUAUUCAUUGUCAAUUUGGGUGAGAUCUUGCUCAGUUGGAGAUUCCCCUUCAUUUUAGGUGAUCAAUAGUGUUCACUUUGCACUUCUUUUGUGUAUAUUUGUCCAUUCUUUCACACAUAAAUUUGUGCCUUGAUUAAUUGCCUCAAUAGCUACAAAUAAUCAACAUUUUAUUAGAAAAGGAUAUAUUUAGCCAUUGAGGAGACUAAUUUUUGAGCUAAAUGGACCUUAAAUGAGUGCAAAUCUACCACUCAUCAACAUUCCCAACUUAAACUUUUGCUUGUUCUCAAAUAAAUGAAUUACACAAUAACCUUAAUAAAGGGUGUAUACAAUAGUUCUCAACAAGAGCUAGCAUGAAAGCACCAUAUCAAGAUUACUCUAAAUAGCAUGUUACCCUAAAUCACGAUAAAAAAGCUUCAAAUGAUGACUAGCUAGUUUCAACACACGCUCAAGAACACUUUAGCUUCUUGGCUGAUGCAAAUACAUAUUUCAACAAAUGCAUUCAAGUGCUCUCACAUCAAGAACAAUUCCAUGCUCUGACAAAAAAUAUUAUCAAAGGUAAUAGGAAUCAAUGCAACUCUUACUCUCUCAAAAGAGAAACACAUGUAAGAUUUGUCCCAUACAUUUGCCCGUAUUUCCCUAUAAUCACACAACCUAGUUAAAUGCAAGAUCUCAAGGGUCUUUUAGUCAUGUAAUGGGGAUGAGAGUUAAGGUAAGAUCACUUUGGAUUUGUGACUUAUUCCUUUUAAAAGUAUUGUUCCAAUCAUCAUAACCUCUUCUGAAGUUCUUUUUCUUCUUUUUAAUUUGAGAACUCAAAUCUUGACUUUCCACUCAAUAUAUUUUGGAAUCCUCCUUGACUUCAUUCAAUUGAAUUUUUCAUUUUCAUGUUUUUUUCAAUCUAUGUCCAUCAAAACUUUUUGCUUCAUUUUUUUCAACAAGGGGUUCUUUCAUUUUUACAAGACUUUCAUAUUUGAUUCAUAUUUCUUCUUCAUUUCUACCCUGCACUUGGCUUUCAUUCAUUCUUUCAUUUCAGCACCCCACCUUAUUGUUUUUGGCCUAAGUUAGUUAUUCAUACAUCACAAUGCUUCAAAAAGGAUUUUUGGUGAGAAGGUAGGGAUAAUUUGGCUCAAGAGGCUUCUUUUGGUUGUCCACAAAUAAGUUAGGCUCAAUCGGUGCCAACAUGGAUUCAAACCCUCACAAGGUAGUCACAAAGGCUUUAUGAAAAAAUUGGUUCCCUCAUUGAAUUUUUUUUCCCAAGAUAAAGCCUCACAUUAACCAAUAUUAACAAAAUUGGACAAACAAGGAAAAUUCUAGGACUCCACAUGCAUGAUUCAUUGUAAAACCUCAUAACAUAGGGCACUUUAAAAUAUACUCAUUUGGCACAGCCUGAGAAGAUCAAAAGCAUACAUGUGAUGUUCAUUACAAGGCUCAUAUCAAAACACAACUAGUAACAAAAAGAUUGAAAGAGAUCGCUGAAAGGUGUAACCACAUCGAUUUUGUUCUCAUAAAAUCAACACUACGCAUCAUGCUCAUAUGAGUACUAUUCUAGACAAUGAUAUUGAACAAAAUCAAUUCUCCAAUUUUUGUCAAUGAAAACUUCAAGCAUUUCACGGUUUAAACUCAUGAGGGGCUUGUAACAUCAUAGGAGAACAAGAUAAAAAUGAAGAGACACACAUUUACCCAAAAUAUUACUCUAAUAAAAACAAAUAUCAAACUACAAUUGUUCAAAAUACAAAAUCACAAAAUACAAGAAAAAGGAGAAUAUUAGCACGAAGUUCCUCACCCCACAAAAAAUAGAAUGUAGUGUCAUCGAUGCAAAAUAAGUAAAAAAUAAUGGGAGGAUCAGAGAAAGAGUCCCCCUGACAAGAUAUGCCUAUGGUGCACUCUCAUCUGAUAUCUCCGCAGCUAAAGCCUCAAGAGGGGCAUCGAUGCCCGUAAUAGGAUCUGUGGAGGUGGCAUCUGAGGCUCAAUAGGGGAAUUAGUGCCCUUCUCAACAAUAGGAGGUACGGUAGAGUUUAGAGUGGCUCAACUAGAUUCAACCUCUGAAGUCUCUCGAAGACAUCUCUCCUAUGAAGCCUGAAGAAUGACCUUCUUAGUCUUGUGCAGCUUUGCCAGUGUCUCAGAUAUCCCGUGCUCUUCAGCUCUCAGCUCCUCCUCAUAUGUCUCCUAGACCAAUUCCUCCUCUUCCCUCUCAUUGAUAUCAUCAUCAACAUCUUCAACAUCCUCAGGCAUAGUCGAGGAAGGCACAACACUAGGUAUCUCGAGCACAUCAGGAAGGGGAACCUCUCCCCAAAGUGUGGAGAUAUCCAUUUACUGUAUCAGGACCACCUCUACCCUCAGCAUUCUCUUGAGCCUUAAUUCUCAUUGUUAGAUCAUCCAUCCUCAAAGUGUUUCUCUCUAUCGUCCCCUCACACUUGAGUAACCACUCAAUCAAAAAAUCUAAGGUGUUCUAAACGGCCUAGUAAAUUAGCUUUAGCAAGUCCUUCUUAACUUAGGCAGCUCUUACAUCUGCUUAAUUGGCAAGGUUGCCCAUCUGAAAGAUCAAUGUUUGGGUCAAGGAGGGAUAGGAAACAUGAUAAGUGGGAGGCCUCACAAUAGUAAUGGCAGCAGCACCAGGUUGUACAUUUGCAGAAAUAAAAAAUCCAGCAACACAGGAAUUGUGGAUAUACCUGCCUACUUCAUUGAAGGAGCAGGUGCGUUGGUCUUAGGUGCCAGAGUCGUAAGAUCAAUCACUGAAAUAGAAUCUGGUGGUGGCGGAUUCCUCCGAGCUGUGUUAUCUCUCAAACAUUCUACGAUGAUCAUCUAGAUUUAAGUUGAUGAUGCUGGUAUGACUCUCAAAUAUGUAGCAACCCGAAAAGGGACACUUACCCUCUCACAUAACUGCAUGUUCUAAAUAGGAAAUAAGAGAGAUGUCUAAUCCUAUCUUGCCCUCAUCAACAUCUCGUUAGCAAUAAUGACACCAACGUGUAUGUUCUAUCGAUCGAUGAUGAUGCCUAAAAAUACCACCUUGUUAUGCUAAAGGUUUGAUUAUUUUGGGAUGGCAUAAGGUUACUCCUGAUGAAUCCAAACUAGUCUUGAUAUAUGACAUUCAAAUCUUUCUUCUCGAUCCCGGCACCAUCAACCAUCUAGGAGAGGGAAUAGUCAAAGAUCAAGGGUGAUAGCAUGCCCUUGAAUGAAUCCAAAUCAUGGCACAGUUGAAGUGAAUAUAAGUUAGUUUGAAAUGCUGGCACCAUCAGCACGGUAUUAAUGGCUUCUAUAUCACACUUAACCUUCUAUCCUCUUACUUCCACUUCUGGAGUGGUUUACAGACUGUGCCAUUUCGGUUUUUUGGAAGGGCUUCAGCAUAAUCUUUAUAAAACUCUCUCACCCAGGAAGGAAGGUAAGUAUCCCUAGGUUUAGAGAAUCACUCUAACAGUUAGAAUGAUAUUGUGUCUCAGAUGGCUCGGUAGACAUCCAUAACUCCAUUAAUGGAGAGUCGUCUCUCCUCAAGUAUUGUUCAUUCACUUAAAUCCUUGAUCCUAUUCAUGGCUAUUGGAGCUAAAACAUACAGGACUCUCGAAGCUAGUGCUUGUGUGGAUGAAGGCAACACCAACUUGGAUCCAAUCUACAUCCUCUUUAUAACCAUCUCCUGUCAGGGCUAUAGCCUUUCUUGGAUUAAUGAUUUCAGAGGGGUAGUUUUAUGACGUCAGUAAGCCUCCAAAGACUCAUUUAUGGUUAUGCCCCGAUGUCUUUUUUAGUGGAGAAGGAGAACGAAAGAGCUCUCUAUUUAACUCCAUAUUAGAAGAAAUCACUUGUUUACCUUUGUUUUUUGCCAUUAACUACAAAGGAUACAUUCAAACAAUAGAUUUGUAAAGGUUAGUUAAAUUCAAGCGGGAAUUGAAACACAUUUCAAAAACAGUUCUGAGGGUCACCUAACGGGACGAUGUAUUGACUAUUAGGAUCGGCGAGCUUCGGUGAGCUCGUCGAGUGAUAUAAUGUCAAAUUACUCAGGGUUCAGGCAUACAAGACAAAGUCAAUGCCAACUCGACGGUUCACUGAGUUGGUUUCGGCAGGCUAACAGAAGUCCGCCGAAACUGACAAUGCAAAAGGGAAUGGAACAAGCAUCAAGGGAGAUGUCCUCUCCAACUGGGCGAUUCAUCAAGUGGGUUUGGUAGACUAAGGCAAGCCCACCGAAUAGAAUAGUACCCAAGGCAAUAGGCAUGCUAAAAAAGGAGAGUUGGGUCUUACUUGGUAAUUUCCCAAACAUCUAUGGCAGACUAGGACAAACUCCACAAUAGGAAAUUUUAGCCCGUGCCUUAUUAUCACAAAAAACCAACACACACAAAAUGUACUAGUUUCCCCACAAUAUUAUAAUCCACCUAGAUGCUUUUCUACCUAUGAGUACUGAGAUUUCACCCCAUUUAUUAGUAGGCAUUGCACUAGUUGACAAUUUUCCCUUAAGAAAGUAGUAACCCUAUCUAUAUUAGGAGAAAUCAUGCCAUUGGGACAACACUGAGCUACGUAAACUUUACCCACAUAAAAUUAGGCACAAACCAAUCAUAUUAAGAAAUUCUAUUCAGUAAUUUAACUAACAUAAUCACGAUUCGUCAAAUUAUCCAGUCCUUCUCAAUAAAAAUCACAUGGGAGUAGUUCAAUUUAAACAAUAUGAUGCUACACAAUGAAACCAUGCACUUAAUCUCAGUAAAAGAGCUGAAGUUCACACCCUAUAUACCUUCUAAACUCAAAAACAACUACAAAAAGUCGAAACAGCAACCUUAAAGCCAAAAAUAAUCAAGAAAAUGAGGGAUUUUGAGUUGGGUUUACAGGAACUCCAGGAAAAUGCUCUUCUGAAGAUGCAAGACUUUCACACGAGGCUCACAAAACACUCAAAAUGCACAAUGCAAGAAAAAGGAAUCGAAAAAGCUCUCAAAUUUCAAAGAUAUUAUUUUUUUAAUUUUAAAAUACCCUUGGUAUUUUAAUAUUAGGCUCGUAUGAUGCUCAUGACUAAUGUCACCAAACGUGUUUGGUGAAUUUCCAAUUGGAUCUUAAGCUCACAAAACAUUCCUGAACAAAUAACAAACCUAAUGGUUGAUUCGACGGACCCAAUGGAGUCUGAUUAAUGCACUUCAGUGAAUCACCCUUUGUAGCUCUGAUCAAUUAUCGUGACAGUGAACAUUUCCAUAUUUUCAAGCUCAAAAGGCAGAAUAAGAAUAUGGCCGCGUAAUACCUUCAGCGGAUCGUUGUUUGGGUUUUGCAUCUUCUAUUCUUCCUGUUUCAAUAAUCCAACACUUUCUCAACACGUAUUCACACCACACGUUAUUUGGAAGCAGUAAAAGAAAUAAUAAGGACUUGGGUUUCCUCCCAAGAAGCACCUUAAUUAACAUAGUGGCAUGACAUAUUGCUCAAACUCAACAAUCAUAUUUGUGGUUUGGGAUGGUGUCACUAGGCAAAAUUCCUUUUUCCCUUGGAUUUAGAUAAAUGACAAUUUCACCCAGUUGGGUCUCUAGUUGCUUGAUAAAAUAGAGUGUGAAGUUACCGUCUUAGAUAAAGUUGAGAAGUCAUUUUUCAAAUUCUCUAACACCUUAUCGGACCCUUCAACUUUAUUGUAGAUCCUUAGAAGCAUGUAUUCCGUCCGGCUUCCUUCUAGCCCAGCAUGUUAUUUUGGGCGUGGAUGAUCAUGGAGAGGCACGGAUCUAACUUUUUCCAUAUUCCUAUCUCUCAUAUUUCCACCUCACCAAUAUCUCCAACAACUAUCUCUAUCUUUGUUCCAACCUUGGUUCCCACCUUGUCAUUGAUAAUUGUCAUGAGAAUAUCCCAUUUCAUUUCCCAAGUAUUGAACUUCUUCGUGUAAAACGCCUCUAAUUUGACAUCAUCCUGACAUUGCCCACUAUUGGUUCGAACUUUAUUUACCGACUUGGUUCCACCUCCUAUCACAUGUUUAGACAAUAAAUCGAUUUGAGUCAUAAUUUCGGCCAUGUUUUAAUCACUUUCAUGGUCCUUCUAGAUUUGUUCUUUGUUCAAACCCACUUAUAGCAAAGGCAUUAGAUCAUCUUUAGUAUGCUAUGCUCGGUUAACCUUAAUCAUACGAUCUGGCAACAAAGCAUCUAUAUCGUACGGUUGUCUCAUCAAUCCACCAUGGACUAAUUGAUCACCCACACCUUAAUUGACUUAAUCAAUUCCACAAUAAAAGUAUUGAAGCAACAACUUGUCCGGAAUGCCAUGCAUUGGACAUUGCAACAACAACUUCCUCAGCCAUGUUUCAUGCGAAGGCUCACCUCCAAUACUUUUAAAAUUUUGGAUUUCAAUACAAACUUAACCAUCUUAGAGGGUGGAAAGAAUAUUUCCAAGAAUUCCUUAGUUAGAUCAUCCCACGAAGUAAUAGAAUCAUUUGACAACUUUGCUAACCAACUUAUAGCCUCUCUAUUAUAGAGAAUGGGUAUAACCUCAACCUCAUAGAUUCUUGGGAGAUAUCUUAAAAAAAAGGGUCCACAUACCUUGAAAAUCAUAAGAUGCUCAUGGGGAUCCUCAUGAGUUAGACCCCUAAAAAUUCCUUUCAUUUGGAGCAAUUGUAUCAUAGUUUCGAUGAAGUGAAACACCGUCCUCCCGUUUGUAUGAGGUAUUCGAAUUGCUCCUUUGGUUUCGAUGACAUUAAUUGAGAUGUCAUUGAGAUCACCGAUGUUGUUACUUUGACCGUAGUAAGUGUAAUUGUCACUCCCAUGGUCACUCAUUGUGUCAACCUGAAAACACCCACAACAACACUAAACAACAAAUCUACUACAAGUAAACAAAAUUAAAAUCUAAUUGGUCUAUUAGAAUUCUCAACCACCAUUCCCCUGCAGCGACACUAUUUUUGAUAAUGCUAAAAUCACCCUUCAAGAUGAAUUAAAAGAGUGAGUGAUCCUUGUUAGUAAAAACCCAACGAAGACUCGGGGUCGAAUCCCACAAGAAACAGUGUAUUGAAAAGAAUUCUCUAUCACGAAAUUUGGACUUUUAAUUAGUUCAUUUGUAAUAGUAAUACAAUUGGGUGGAUGGUAUAACCAUAUUAAUAUAAAGCUUUGAUUAUCAAUUAUUGAAAUUAAACUAAAAGUAAACAAAAAUCAAGAGUUGACAAGAAAUCUAAGGGUGUGGGGAUUUGGAAUGAAUGUUUCAUAAGGGUGAUGGUGCUUCUCUAUAAUGAUAACAUUCAUGAAUAGGCUAUGUAAUUUUUAUCGACACUAAUCAUCUUUUGAUCUCAACGCAACUAUGCAUAAAAUAUCCUUUAUGACUCAUCUUUAUUCCAUUUCUAAACAAACCAAUACCUUUCUCUAUUCUCUCUUUCAAGUAUAGGACAAAUAGAUCCAUCCCAUAACCUCUAUUUAAAGCAAGCCAUAGACAUCAAACCUCAAUUGAUAGUAUUGAGCUAGUUACCCACUCUAUUUAAUCUCUUUCAAGCAUCACGCGGAGAUCAAAAAUAGGAAAUAAUUUUGCAACCUAAAUGUAUAAGUUAACCCCUUGGUAAUUAGGCCAAAUUCAAGCAUGAAAAACAAAAAAAAUAGAGCAUACCACAAUACCCACUACAUUAAAUCAAUACCACAACUCAUUAGAGAACCCCUAGAUCUUAGGGUUUUAGCCACCCAUCAUAAAUAGUAAUAAAAGUAUACCUUCCAUGAAAGCAUCCAUGGGUAACUUAAAAUCAAGCAAUGAGGAGUAUUCCCAUUUGGGAUUAAACUUCAAUUUAUACAAUUCAAGUUUAAAAUUGUAAAAUCCUAAGAACUACAAAAGUGUUUCUUCUCAAAGGUAAAAUGUUCUACUUACUAUUCAACUUUCCUUGUCAAGUAUUUUAACUCUCGACUUGCCUCCCUAAAAUUAUAUACUUUUGGCUAUUUAUACUUUCCCAAAAUUUUGCACAAAAUUACUCUAUAACUUAUUCAGCGACAUUAGUUGGGAUCACCAAGGCUAAUUGGCAUCUCGCCCUUCGCUCCUCAACUUGCCUUGUGAAGCUCUAGGGUUUAGAAUAUAUGGUUUUGGGCUUUAUAUGGAUUGGAGCUUAGAGUUUUUUUAGGUUUAGGGGGUUUUGGGUUUUUUAGGGUUUUUAGGGAUUAAGUAUUUCUUAGGGCUUUUUAGUUCUUAAGGAAUACAAAAAAAUUUCUUCUUGUUUUUGAGGUAUAGGGUUUAAAGGUUUUAGGUUAUGGGUUUAGAGCUUAGGGUUUUGUAGGGGUUUUAAAUGGUUUUUAGGGUUUAUAGGAUUUAGAUUUUUUUAGGUUUAAAGUGGGAUUCUUAGGGUUCUAGGUUUUGGUUUUUGGGUUUUAGGUUAGGGUUUAGGAUUUUGGGUUUUAGGAUAGGGUUUCGGGUUUAGGGUUUUGGAUAUUUUAGGUUAAGGGUUUUUAUAGGUUUAGGGUUUAGGGCUUUGGAGUUUUUGUGUUUUUAGGGUUUAGCAUAUAUAAUUAAGGUCUUUAUGGGGUUUAGUGCUUAGUGUUUUUUAGGUUUAGGGGUUUUUGGAUUUUUUUAGGGUGUAUAAGGGUUAAGUGUUUUUUAGGGUUUUUUUGGGUUUAGGGAUUAGGGAUUUUUUUUUGUGUUUUUUAGGUUUAGGAUUUACGAAUUUUUAGUAUAUAGGGUUUAGAACUUAAGGUUUUGUAGUGGUUUUAAAUUGUUUUUAGGGUUUAUAUAGGUUUAGGAUAGGUUUCUAAGGGUUUUAGGGCUUAGGAUUUAGGAUUUUAGGUUAAUGGUUUUAUCUAGGUUUUUAAGGUGUAAGGCUUCGGGUUUUUAAGGGUAGGGUUUUUAGGCUUUUUAGGUUUAGGGCUUAGGUUUUUUGGUAUGUUCUUACGAUUUAAUAUAUACGAUUUAGGGCUUUAUAGGGUUUAGAGCUUAGUGUUUUUUGGGUUUAGGGGUUUUUUACGAUUAUUAAGGGUUAAAUAUUGCUUAGGGUUUUGUUAGGGUUUAAGGUUUAAGGCUUAUCGUUUUUGGUGUUUUUUAGGUUUAGGGUUUACGGAUUUUUAGGAUUUAGAGUUGGUAGCUUAGGUUUUGUAGGGGUUAUAAAUUGUUUUAAGGUUUAUUUUAGGGUUUAUAGGAUUUAGGGUUUCUUAAGGUUUAGGGUUUAGGGUCUCUUAGGGUUUUGGGUUUAGGAUUUAAGGUUUUAGGUUAGGGUUUAGGAUUUUUUAGGUUUAGGGUUUUAGGUUAAGGGUUUUAUCUAGGUUUUAGGGUUUAGGGAUAAGGUUUUUUUUUGUGUUUUUUAGGGUUUAGCAUAUACAUUUUAGGUCUUUAUAGGGUUCGGAGCUUAGAGUUCUUUAGGUUUAGGGAUUUUUGAGUUUUUUUAGUAUUUUUAAGGGUUAAGCGUUUUUUUGAGUAUUUUUACAGAUUAGGUCUUAUGGUUAAUUUGUGUUUUUUAGAUUUAGGGUUUACGGAUUUUUAGGAUUUAGGGCUUAGAGCUUAGGGUUUUGUAGGGGUUUGAAAUGGUUUUUAGGGUUUAUAGGAUUUAGGGUUUCUUAAGGUUUAGGGUUUAGGGUUUCAUAGGGUUUUAGGUUUAGGAUUUACGGUUUAGGGCUUAGUGUUUUUUUAGGUUUAGUGUUUUCGGUUAAGGGUUUAGGAUUUAGGGCUUUGGGUUUUUUAGGUUUAGAGUUUUGGGUUAAGGGUUUUAUCUAGGUUUUGAGGGUUUAGGGCUUUGGGUUUUUUAGGUUUAGGGUUUUAGGUUUAGGAUUUAGGGCUUUUGGGUAGGGUUUAGGGAUUAGGGGUUAGGGUUUUAGCUUAAGGGUUUUAUCUAGGUUUUGAGGGUUUAGGGCUUUGGGUUUUUGGGUUUUUGGGUUUUUAAGGGUUAAAUGUUUCCCAAGGUUUUGGGGUUAGGUUUUUUUUUUUUUUUGUGUUUUUUAGGUUUAGGGUUUACGGAUUAUUAGUAUUGGGAUUUAGAGCUUAGUGUUUAUUAGGUGUUUUAAAUGGUUUUAGGGUUUAUUUUAUAGUUUAUAGGAUUUAGGGUUUCUUAAGGUGUAUGGUUUAGGGUUUCUUAGGGUUUUAGGUUAGGGUUUUUUUUUUUUUACAUUUUAGCUUAAGGGUUUUAUCUAGGUUUCUAGGGUUUAGGGGUUUGGGUUUUUUAGGGUCUUAUAUGUUUAGUGUUUAGGGCUGAGGUUAUUUUUAGGAAUGGCAAUGAGGCGGGGCAGAUGCAAAGAGGGGAGGGUUUAAGGCUAUAUGGGCCGGGGCGGGUUUAAGGUUGUGUGGGGCCGAUCAGAUGUGAUGAUGGUUGAAGUGGGUGUUUUAAAAAUUAAUGUGGGGUGGGGGGAGUAUAUUUCAUUUUAUGUGGCUUCAAACUUAAUUUUAACUUUUUACAAGAGUGAUAAUGAAUUAUUUAUUAAGAUAAUUUCAUUAAACCUACUAAAAUAUUCAAGAUAAUAAAUGAAAAUGGUUCAAUAAAAAAUAAUACAAUUUCUUACAUGUUCCCAAUUGACCUCUAAAACAAAUUAAGUCAGUAUCCUACUAAAUUAAUACAACUUAAUGAAAAAAUGAAUUUCUUUUUAUGAAUUUUAUUUUUAGUAUCAAACAUAAUUAGAAAAGAGAAAAUAUUUAAAAAGUUAUGCGGGGCGGGUUUAUACGGGGUGGGUCUAUGCGGGAAGGUUGACAAUGAAAAGAGUUGUUAUGCGGGGCGGGGAGGAUUAAAAAUUUUGCGAGUUAAGCUCAACCCUCACAGCCCCUGUCCUACCCCCAUUGCCAUCCCUAGUUUUUUUUUUUUUUGUGCUUUUUAGGGUUUAGCAUAUACAAUUUAAGGCUUUAAAGUGUUGAGAGCUUAGAGAUUUUUAGGUUUGAGGAUUUUUAUUGUUUUUAAGGGUUAAGUGUUUCUUAGGUUUUUUAGGGUUUAGAAUUAAGGGCUUAGGGUUUUUGUAUUUUUAGGUUUAGGGUUUACGGAUUAUUAGGGUGUAGGGUUUUUAGGGGUUUUAAAUGGUUUUAAGGGUUAAUAGGAUUUAGUGUUUCUUAAAAUUUAGGGUGGGUUUCUUAGGGUUUAGGUUUAGGAUUUAGGGUUUUAGGGUUUAGGGCAGAGGGCUUGAGGUUAAGGGUUUUACCUAGGUUUUUAGUGUUUAGGUCUUCGGGUUUUUUAGGGUUUUCUAGGUUUAUAGUUUAGGGCUUAGGGUUUUUUUAUAUAUAUAUUUUUAAGGUUUACCAUAUUCAAUUUAGGGCUUUAUAGGUUUUAGAGCUUUGAGUUUUAGGUUUGGUGGGGGGGGGUCUUUGGUUUUAAGGGUUAAGUGUUUCUUAGGGCUUUUUAGGGCUUAGGAUUUUUUGUGUUUUUUAGGUUUAAUGUUUACAAAUUUUUAGUAUUUAGGGUUUAGAGGUUAGAGUUUUGUAGGGGUUUUAAAUGGUUUUAGGUUUUAUUUUAGGGUUUAUAGUAUUUAGUUUUUAGGGUUUCUUAUAGUUUUAGCUUUAGGAUUUAGGGUUUUAUUAGGAUUAGGUUUUAGGUUAAAGGUUUUGUCUAGGUUUUUAGGGUUUAAGGCUUUGGUUUUUUAGGUUAAAGUUUUUUAGGGUUUGAUUGGUUUAGGGUUUAAGGCUUAGGAUUUUUUUAAGGUUUCGCAUAUACGGUUUACGAUGAUAUAGGGUUUGGAGCUUCGAGUAUUUCAAGUUUAGGGGUUUUUAGGGUUUUUAGGGUUUAGGGCUUCGGAUAUUUUUUGUUUUUUUUUUUACAAUAUUUUAGGAUUUAGGUUUAGAGCUUAGAGUUUUAUAUGGGUUUUAAAUGGUUUCUAGGGUUUAUUUUGAGGUUUAUAGGAUUUAGGGUUUCUUAAGGUUUAUGGUGAGUUUGUUUGUGUUUUAAGUUUAGGAUUUACGGUUUUAGGUUAGGUUUUAGGGUUUAGGGCUUAGGGAUUUUUAGGUUUAUGCUUUUAGGUUUAGUGUUUUAUCUAGGUUUUUAGGGUUUAGGGCUUUGGGUUUUUUGGAUUAAGGUUUUUUAGGGUUUUAAAAGUUUAGUGUUUAGGGCUUAGGUUUUUUCUUUGUUUAUUUUAGGUGUUAAGCAUAUACGAUUUAGGGAUUUAUAAGAUUUAGAGCUUAGUGUUUUUUAGGUGUAGGUUUUUUUUUAGGGUUUUUAAAGGUUUAGCAUAUACGAUUUAGGGUUUAUAGGGUUUAGUGCUUAGGCUUUUUUUAGGAUUUUAGGAUUUAGAGCUAUAGGUUUUUUAGGUGAAGGGUUUUUAGGGUUUUAUAGGUUUAGGGGUUUAGGUCUUAGAGUUUUGUUUUUGUAUUUUUUUAGGGUUUAGCAUAUACGAUUUAGGGCUUUAUAGGGUUUAGAGCUUAGAGUAUUUUAGGUUUAAGUGUUUUUGGGUUUUUUUUAGGGUUUUUAAAGGUUAAGUGUUUCUUAGGGUUUAGGAUUUAGUGCUUAGGUUUUUUUUUUGUGUUUUUUAGGUUUUUAAUUUAUGGUUUUUAGGAUUUAGGGUUUAGAGCUUAGGGUUUUUGUAGGGGUUUUAAAUGGCUUUUAGGGUUUAUAGGAUUUAGGGUUUCUUAAGGUUUAGGGUUUUUUAGGGUUUUAGGUUUAGGGUUUAGAGUUUAAGGUAAGGGUUUAGGGUUUAGAGCUUAGGACUUUUAGGUUUAGGGUUUAUGUUAAGGAUUUUAUCUAGGUUUUUAGGGUUUAGGGCUUUCGAUUUUUUAGGUUAACAUUUUUAGGGUUUUAUAGGUUUAGGGUUUAGGUCUUAGGGUUUUUUUAGGGUUUAGCAUAUACGAUUUAGGGUUUUAUAGGGUUUGGAGCUUAGAGUUUUUUAGUGUUAGGGGUCUUUGGGUCUUUUAGGAUUUAGUGUUUCUUAGGAUUUUAAGGGUUUACGGAUGAGGUUUUUUUUUAGGUUUUUAGGAUUUAGGGUUUAGAGUUUAAGGUUUUGUAGGGAUUUUCAAUGGGCUUUUGGGUUUAUUUCAGCGUUUAUAGGAUUUAGGGUAUCUUAAGGUUUAGAGUUUCUUAGGGUUUUAGCUUUAGGAUUCAGGGUUUUAUGUUAGGAUUCAGGGUUUUAGGUCAAGGGUUUUAUCUAGGUUUAUAGGAUUUAGGGCUUUGGGUAUUCUAGGUUAAGGUUUUUCAAGGUUUUAUUGGUUUAGAGGUUUUUUAGGGUUUAGCAUAUCCGAUUUAGGGCCUUUUAGGGUUUAGAACUUAGAGAUUUUUAGGUUUAGGGUUUUUUGGGGGUUUUUUCAGGGUUUUUUAAGGUUUAAGUUUUUCUUAGGGUUUUUAAGGGUAUAGGGUGUAGGGCUUAGAGUUUUUUUUUUAGUGUUUUUUAGGUUAAAGUUUUACUGAUCUUUAGUAUUUAGGGUUUAGAACUUAGGGUUUUUUAUGCAUUUUAAAUGGUUUUAGUUUUUAUUUUAGGGUUAAUAGGAUUUAGGGUUUCUUAAGGUUUAGGGUUUAGGGUUUCUUAGGGGUCUAGGUUUAGUAUUUCGUGUUUUAUGUUAGGGUUAGAGAUUAGGCCUUAGGGUUUUUUGAGGUACAGGGUUUUAUCUAGGUUUAAGGGUUUAGGGCUUUGUGUUUUUUAGGUUAAGGUUUUUAAGGGUUUUAUAAGUAGAGGGUUUCGGUUUUUUUUUUAUUGUUUUUAGGGUUUAGCAUAUUCGAUUGAAGGGUUUAUAGGGUAAAGAGCUUAGAUUUUUUUUUAGGUUUAGGGUUUUUAGGAUUUUUAAGGUUAAGUAUUUCUUAGGGUUUAAAGGUUAAGGUUUUGUAGGGGAUUUGAAUGGUUUUUAGGGUUUAUGGAAUUUAGGGUUUGUUAAUGUUUAGGGUUUAUGGUUUCUUACGGUUUUAGGUUUAGGAUUUAGGGUUUUAGGUUAGUCUUUAUGGUUUAGGGCUUAGGGUUUUAUUAGGUUGAUGUUUCAUUUUAAGGAUUUUAUCUAGGUUUUUAGGGGUUAAGGCUUUGCUUUUUAAGAUUAAGGUGUUUUAGGUUUUUAUAGGUUAAGGGUUUAGGGCUUGGUUUUUUUUUGUGGUUUUAGGGUUUAGCAUAUAUGAUUUAGGGCUUUAUAGGGUUUGGCACUUAGAAUUGUUUAGGUUUAGGGGUUUUUGGAUUUUUUAGGGUUAAGUGUUUCUUAGGGUUUUUUAGGGUUUAGGUCUUACGGGUUUUUGUUUUAUUGUUUUAUAGGUUUAAAGUUUACAGAUUUUUAGGAUUUAGGGUCUAGAGCUUAGUUUUUUGUAGGGGUUGUAAACGGUUUUUAAGGUUUAUUUUAGGGUUUAUAGGAUUUAGGGUGGGUUUCUUAGGGUUUUAGGUUUAGGUUUUUGGUUUUAGGUUAGGCUUUAGGGUUUAGGGCUGAGGGUUUUAAGUUAAGGGUUUUAUCUAGGUUUUUAGGGUUUAGGGCUUUGGGAUUUUUUAGGUUAAGGUUUUUUACGGUUUUAAAUGUUUAAGGCUUUGGACUUAAGGGUUUUUGUGUUUUUUAGGGUUUAACACAUACAAUUUAGGGCUUGAUAGGGCUAAGAGCUUAGAGUUUUUUUUAUGUUUAGGGGUUUUUGGGUUUUUUUAAGGUUUUUAAGGGUUAAGUGUUUCAUAGGGUUUAAAGCUUAGGGUUUUUUUUUAUAUGUUUUUUAGGUUUAGGGUUUACAGUUUUUUUAUUAUUUAGGGUUUUGAGAUUAUGGUUUUGUAGGGGUUUUUAAUGAUUCUCAGGGUAUAUUUUGUGGUUUAUAGAAUUUAGGGUUUCUUAAUGUUUAGGGUUUAGGAUUUCAUAGGGUUUUAGGUUUGGGAUUUAGGGUUUUAGGUUAGGGUUUAGGGUUUAGGGCUUAGGGUUUUUAGGUUUAGGGUCUAGGUUAAGGGAUUUAUCUAGGUUUUUAGGGCAAGGGCUUUGCGUUUUUAGGUUAAAGGAUUUUAUGGUUUUAUAGGUUUAGGGUUUAGAGCUUACUGCUUUUUGGGUUUAGGGGUUUUUUGGUUUUUAGGAUUUUUAUGGGUAAAGUGUUUGUUAGAGUUUUUAGGGUUUAUGGUUUCGGGCUUAGGGGUUAUCGUGUUUUUGAGCUUUAGGGUUUACGGAUUUUUAGGAUUUAGGGUUUAGAGCUUAGGGUUUGGUAGGGGUUUUAAAUGGUUUUAGGUUUAAUUUUAUGGUUUAUAGAAUUUAGGGUUUCUUAAGGUUUAGAGUUAGGGUUUCUUAGGGUUUUAGGUUUAGGAUUUAGGGUUUUAGGUUAGCGUUUAUGGAUUACAGCUUAGGGUUUUUAAGGUUUAGGUUUUUGUCUAAGCGUUUUAUCUAGGUUUUUUGGGGAAGGGUUUUGGUUUUUGAGGUUAAGGUUUUUUAGGCAUUUAUAGGUUAAGGGUUUAGGGCUUAUGAUUUUUUUUGUGUUUUUAGGGUUUAGGGCUUUAAAGGGUUUGGCAAUUAGAAUUUUUUAGGUUAAGGGUUUUUUGGGUUUUUAAGGGUUAAGUGUUUCUUAGGGUUUUUUAGGUUAAGGUGUUUUUAGAGUUUUAUAGGCUUAGGGUUUAGGUUUUUUUAGGGUUUCGGGUUAAGGGUGUCUUCGAAUUGAGGUUUAGGAUUUAGGGCUUUAGGUUAAGGUUUAGGGAUUAGUGGUUUUUUAAGUUUAAGGUUUUAGGUUAAGGGUUUAUGGGAUAUAUGGUUUCUUUAAGGAUUAGGGUUUAAGGUUUCUUAGGGUUUCAGGUUUAGGAUUUAAGGUUUUAGGUUAGGGUUUAAAGUUUAGGAUUUAGGGUUUAGAGUUUAGCGUUUAUAAUUUAGGGUUUAGUGCUUAGGGUUUUUUCGUAGUUUUCAAUCGUUUGAGAGUUUUUUUUAGGGUUUAUAGGACCUAGGGUUUCUUAAGGUUUUGGGGUUUUUAGGGUUUUUAAGGGUUAAGUGUUUCUCAGGGAUUAGGGCUUAGGUUUUUUUUUUGUGUUUUUUAGGUUUAGGGUUUACGGAUUUUUUGUAUUUAGAGUUAAGACCUUAGGGUUUUGUGGGGGUUUUCAAUGGGUUUUUAGGGUUUAUAGGAUUUAGGGUUUCUUAGAAUUUAAGGUUUAGGGUUUCUUAGGGUUUUAGGUUUAGGAUUUACGGUUUUAGGUUAGGGUUUAGGGUAUAGGGCUUAGGGUUUUGUAAGGUUUAGGUUUUAGGUUAAGGGCCUUGGGAGUUUUAGGUUAUGGUUUUUUAGGGUUUUAUAGGUUUAGAGUUUAGGGCUUAGUGUUUUUUUGUGUUUUAUAGAGUUAUUUUUGGGUGAAGGGUUUUAUCUAGGAUUUUAGAGUUUAGGGCUUUGGAUUUUUUAGGUUAAUGUUUUUAGGGUUUUAUAAGUUUAGGGUUUAGGGCUUAAGGUUUGUUGUGUUUUUUAGGGUAUAACAUAUAUUGUUUAGGGCUUUAUAGGGUUUGGAGCUUAGAGUUUUUUAGGUUUAGGGGUUUUUGGGUUUUAAAGGUUUUAAAGGUUUUUUAAGGAUUAAGUAUUUCUUAGAGAUUUUUAGGGUUUAGGGCUUAGGGUUUUCUUUGGUGGUUUUAAGGUGUAGGGUUUACUGAUUUUGAGGAUUUAAGGUUUAGAGCUUAGAAUUUUGUAGGUGUUUUAAAUGGUUUUUAGGGUUUAUUUUAUUGUUUAUAGGAUUUAGGGUUUCUUAAGGUUUAGGGUUAAAGGUUUCUUAGUGUUUAGGUUUAGGAUUUAGGAUUUGAUGUUAGGGUUUAGGGAUUAGGGGUUUUUUAGGUUUAGGGUUUUAGGUUAAGGGUUUUAUCUAGGUUUUUUGGGUUUCGGGCUUUGAAUUCUUUUAGGUUGAAGUCUUUUUAGGGUUUUUUAAGUUUAGGGUUUAAGGCUUAGGGUUUUUUUUUUGUGUUUUUUAGGGUUAAGCAUAUACGGUUUACGGCUCUAUAGGGUUUAAAUCUUAGAGUUUUUUUGGGUUUAGGGGGUUUUGGGGUUUUCAGGGUUUUUAAGGGUUAAGUGUUUCUUGGGGUUUUUUAGGAUUUAGGGUUUAGGUUUUUUUUUUUAGGUUUAUGAAUUAUGCAUUUUUAGGAUUUAGCUUUUAGAGGUUAGAGUUUUGUAGGGGCUUUAAAUAGUUUUAGGGUUUAUUUUAGAGUCUAUAGGAUCUAGGGUUUCUUAAGGUGUAGGGUUUAGGGUUUCUUAGGGUUUUAGGUUUAGGAUUUUGGGUUUUAGGUUAGGGUUUAUGGUUUAGGGCUUAGGGCUUAAGGCUUUUUUUGCUUUAGGUUUUAGGUUAAUAGGGUUUUAGGUUAGUGUUUAGGGUUUAGGGCUUAGGAUUUUUUUUGUUUUAUCAUUUAGGUUAAGGGUUUUACAUAGGUCUUUAGGGUUUAGGGCUUUGGGUUUUUAGGUUAAAGUUUUUUUUAGGGUUUUAUAGGUUUAGGGUUUAGGGCUUAGGGCUCUUUUGUGGUUUUUACUGUUUAGCAUAUAUGAUUUAGGGCUUUAUAGGGUUUAGAGCUUAGAGGUUAGUGGGUUUAGGGUUUUUAGGGUUUUUAAGGGCUAAGUGUUAAGAGUUUUGUGGGUUUAGGGUUUUCAGGAUAUAGCCCAUUAAAGAUCAUACGUUAGAAGGAAUACAAGAGAGAAUCUGGAACGAGAAGCUCUUCAAGAAGCGCCUCUAGUUCUGGUUGACCUCUGAUCAAACAAGUGACUAAUGUAGAGUUUAGGGCUACUUUUCAAGUCUUGGCUCAAGACAUGAUAGCUUAAGCCAAUAGGGAGGUUGUGGUCCCCAUAAACCUAAAUGUGGGUACAUCGGAAACUAUAGUUAGAGACUUCACUUGAAUGAAUCCUCUAGAGUUUCAUGGAUCUAAGGUUGAGGAAGAUCCUCAAGAGUCCAUUGAUGAGGUGUAUAUGAUGUUGAUGAUCAUGAGAGUGACGCCGGUGGAAAAUAAAGAAUUGACCUCUUAUCAACUUAAGGGUGUUUCUCAAGUGUGGUUCAAUAAUGGAAGGAAGAGAAGGCGGUAGAUAAGGGUCCUUUUGAUUGGGAGAAGUUUAAGGUUGCUUUCUUUGACAUGUUCUUUCCCUUUGAGAUGAGGGAGGCAAAGGUACUUGAAUUCAUCAACCUAUUUCAAAUAAACAUGAGUGUGAAAGAGUAUGCCUUGAAUUUCACAUGAUUGUCUUGAUAUGUUCAUACUAUGGUCGCCGAUCCUAGGGCAAGGAUGAGUAAGCUUGUUUCGGGAAUGUCUGAGAUGGUGGUUAAAGAAUGAUGUACCACCAUUCUCAUCAAUGGCAUGGACAUUUCUCGUUUAAUGGAUUAUACUCAACAAAUAGAAGAGGAGAAACUUAAGGAAAGAUCUAGGGAGACAAAGAAGGCAAGGUCCGGUGAUGGUGACUUUUCACAUUCGAGGUCCGACGGACAUCGUCUUACUAAGUUUCGACAAAGGUUUUCCGGUCAAGGUUCCUCCAAUACUCCGACUCCUAAAUUCAACAAAUAUAGGGUGUCUAAUCCUAAGCCUUAGUGAGGAAUUGGUGGUGGAUUUUCAUUGUCUACUUGUUCUAGAUGCGGAAGAAAGCAUGAUGGUAAAUGCCUAACCAAAUCCAAUGCAUGUUUAUAGAAAGUGUCCCUUCUCCUUAUCCCAUUGUCACUUAUGUUGAUCUUGUAGAGCUUGAUAUAUUAGUUUUUGAUGUUAUUCUAAGUAUGGAUUCAUUGCAUUCUUGUUAUGCUUCUAUAGAUUGUAGAACCCGAUUAGUAAAGUUUAUGUUUCCAAAUGAACCCAUUCUAGAGUGGAAAGGAGGAAAUUAUAUGCCUAAGGGUAAGUUUGUUUCUUGUAUUAAAGCUAGAAAAUAAUUUCUUAGUGUUUCACAUAUCAUCUUGUUCGGGUCAGGGAUAAGGAUUUUGAAACCCCUACUCUUGAGUCGGCCCACUUCGUUAAUGAGUUACCGGAAGUGUAUCCCAAUUAAUUAAUUGGUGUUCCUAUCAAAAAGGAAAUGGACUUCGGUAUUGACCUCCUCCCACAUAUGCAACCUAUCUCAAUCUGUAACACCUCGGUCUUAGAAAGAGGUAAAUCUAGAAAGAACUAAAUUUGAAAGAGCAAAAUUGAGAUUUAUUCAAGUUACUCUUAAAUUGUGAGUUCUGGCUCAAUUUCAAACAACCAUAACUUUCAGUAAAUGAUGUGUUAGGUGGCCCAUGAGAUAUCAAAUCGAAGGUCGUUGAGUCCUCUUUCCAACGCUCUCAAGUUUGCUAAAUUCUGAGUAUGGAUGAGGGAGAUAUGCUCGUUUGAGGGCAACCUGUCCAAUUAAGGAAAUUCAUCCAUCUUAAGGAGGGGUAUUUUGGUCUUUUCCUUACCCUACUAGGCCUACACGAUUUUUUCACCCAAUUAUGGGUCAAAUCUGAUUAAAAUAAAUUGUCACUCAAGUCUAAAGCGUUCGAGAAACUUAGGGCAAAGUUCAAGACAAGAAAAGAUGAGCUUUCAAUAAGUUCUUCAAGAAUUUUGGGAAAUCGCCAAGAAUGUGGUUCUGUAUGUAAGCUUUAAUAGUGCUGCAUUUGUUCGCCCGUAUGCCAAUCACUUAAAUUUCAGCCAUGAAUUCACUCUAAAUUUUAUUGAUUGAGAUUCUUGAUGAGGUUAUAGAGGAUUUAGCUUCAAUCAUUAUUAAUGGAGUCUUGUUGAGUUCUUUAGGUGAGGGUUUUGUGAAUGAGUGUUAUUCUUGAUGAGUUUUGCAUGGGUUUCAUUGAAAAUGUUCGGGGUUCGUGAAAUUUCGUGAAAUUGGACCAUAGAAUUGAAGUGGGUGUGAGUUGAAUCGAGUUUGAGAGAGGAAGAAAAGAUCGGGCAAAAACUAUGUGAUCGGGUCCGCGUAGCGGAGGCGCUUUAAAAAUUUAGUCCCCAGAUAAUUAACCCCUCUCCGAGUCACGGAGAGGAUGCUGAUUCCUCUGUCUCAAAAAUUAUUUCGCGACCAAAAUAUUUAAUUCAUAAUCCACAUCGUGCCAGUCUACUCCGGUUGUGUCUUCACUCGUUUCUUAUUAUCGACUAUCUAAACGUUCCUAAAUCAUUGAGGGAACCUACAUUCUAAUCGUAGCUCUUAAUUCAUCAUUUCAAAUCACAGUAAAGAUUACGAGUAAAGUUUGAGAAACCUUUUUGAGUCAUUUUCAGAAGUCUUUUUACAAUUAUUUAUAAAUUGUCUGCAAGACUUGAGUAAUUGAGUAUGCGUAUGAGGAGAGUUGAGUUGCAUAUUUCAAAAUGAGUAUACAGGAACUAAGUAUUCCCAACUGUAAUUACUUUUACAUUAAAAUGAGAGAAACACUUAUUUCUCCACAAGUGAAUGAGGUGUUUUGAGCAUUAAGAGAACCUUUUGAGUAAUUAUCUCAAAUUGAGGAGGAGUUAUAUGAUUUCUUUAAAACAUAUGAGCAUGAGUUAUAUAUUAUUUAUAGUGGCAUUGAGCUCUGAUAUGUGGAUGUGUUCAGACAACUCAAAGUCCUCAUAAACCAUGUAUGCCAAAAUGAUAAAAGAUCAUACUUUUUAGAUUUUCCUGAUUGCUUUUAAGCAUAACUUAGUGGAUCCACUUAGCCCAGGAUGUCCUGUACUCCAGCAAGGUAUAGGACAGUUCUAGCAGUGUGGAUGAGAUGAUUUAUCAUCACAUAGCUCGUAUUGAUGGUUGUCAGUUAGAUAAUCUCUCAAAUAAAAGUAAUGAGUUUAUUAUUGUUUUUUUUACACAUUGUGUUAUUAUCUACUGUUUUAAAAGUUUUCUUUAUACUGCAUCUUUAUUAUUGCUUUUACAUUGAAUUGAGUUGAGAAUCCUUGAGUUGAGUUUAGUAUUCUUUAGUUGAGUUGAGUUAAAUUGAGAUGAGGUGAGUAUGUUCUUUUUUUUAUCAGUUCGAGCUUAUGUAUGUGUUUUAGAGUUCCCGUUACAUACUCGUACAUUCAAUGUAUUGACGCCAUUUGGCCUGCAUCUUUUUAUGAAGCAUAUACAUGUAUUCAGGGUCAUCAACAUGCACUUUGUGUAUACCACUUGCAAUUCCAGUUAGCUUUCCUUCUUGCUUCAAAACGAUUCAACUUCUACUUUCAGUCUUAUUAAGAUGUUGUGAGUCUUGUCUCGAGAUCUAUCAUAAUUAUUACAGGCUUCAUAGACAAUAGUGCUCUAAGGAGUCUUUUUCAUUUCCAUUGUUAAUAUUUAAGACUCGAGUUGCCUUUUUUUUGGCCAAUUUAAUACUUUACACAUUCUAAGUUCUUUAUAUUGAGACAUUUGAGUACAUCUUUAUUUUUGAGGUCAUGUAAUGUUGAGUAAGUCUUCCGUUGAGUAUUGAGCUAGGCCAAAUGUUUGCUUGGGGACCAACAAUGGUUGUCGACUUUCAGUUACGUCAAGGGUGUAGGCUCGCAGCAUGAAAAAAUUUGUAUUAGAGCCCAAAGUUCAAGAGUCAUAGGAUGUCUAUGAAGCCAUGUUUGUAGAGUCCUAGUUAUCAGUGCGAAGCGCGCCACAUCUAUAAAUAAGAGCCUACGACAUUUAGGAAAUAUUUUACUUCUUUCAUACUCUUUUCAUGCGAUAGAGUUCAAACCUAUAAAAGUUUUUUCCUAAUUCGUGCUUGCGUGUAUCUUUCAUAUCAUGCCUCCAGUAAGAGCUAAUUGAGGUCGUCCUGCUAGGAGAAAUAUUAACCAUCAAGAUAAAGGGGUACCCAAUGCACUAGAAGUGAAACCCCAAGGAGAGCUCACUAAUGCUAAGUUUCGGGAUGCUAUCUAGAUUGAUUCAGGUUGUGACCAACCAAGAUAGGCAACAUAGAUGGAUUCAUGAAGAUGUGGCUGAUACAACAAGGAUCCAGGAGUUCUUGAGGAUGAAUCCUCCAAACUUCGCAAGGUCAAGUGUUACUAAAUAUCCAAAAAACUUUAUGGAGGAACUGCAGGAAAUAUUUGAGGUAAUGGAUGUUUCAGAUUUUGAGCCUGUGGAGUUAGCUUCAUACCAACUCACAUGUGUUUCUAGGAUCUGGUACAACCAAUGGAAAAGGAGUAAAGCUGAAGAGGCACCAAUUGUGAGUUGGGAUGUGUUUGAAAGUGCCUUCAUGGGGAGUUUCUUUCCCCAUGAGCUGAGGGAGGCAAAGGUAAGAGCAUUUAUCAUGCUUUAGAAGGAAUCCAUGAGUGUUCAUGAGUACAGCCUCAAGUUCACUCAACUGUAACAUUUUAAUCUUCCUGGAGUCCCUCAUUUGGGAGAAAUAGACUUUUGCGUAUAUAUUCUUCCUGAUACUCGACCUUUCUCUAUUCCACCAUAUAGAAUGGCUCCAGCUGAGUUAAAAGAAUUAAAAGAGCAGUUGAAAGACCUUCUUGAUAAAGGUUUCAUUCGACCAAAUGUAUCACCUUGGGGUGCUCCAGUCUUAUUUGUGAGGAAGAAAGAUGGUUCUCUUAGGAUGUGUAUUGGUUACCGCCAAUUGAAAAGGUCACUAUCAAGAAUAAGUAUCCCCUACUAAGAAUUGAUUAUCUUUUCAAUCAACUUUAAGAUGCCAGUUGUUUUCUAAGAUAAAUCUCAGAUCUAGCUAUAAUAAGUUGAGGGUGAGAGAGAGUGAUAUUCCAACGACAACAUUCAGGGCCUGUUAUGGUCAUAUUGAGUUUUUCGCUAUGUUUGUUGGCUUGACUAAUGCUCUGCAGCGUUCAUGGAUCAUAUGAAUAACGGGUUUAAGCUUCAUAUUGAUAUGUUUAUUUGGAACCUCGAUCACCACAACACAUAAAAACAGCCCAAUACCUUAAUCAAUCUACUUUUUCAACAAACAAACCUGGUUCUUAUUCCAAAGAAAGAAAAAGUAAAAAGCUUUAGGGAGCUAAGGCUAAUUAGUUUGAGCACUUUUGUGAACAAGGUAAUAUCCAAAUUGGUGCAUGAUAUAAUUGCAAAGUGGUUACCACUUAUUAUAUCAAAGAACCAAUCACUUUUUUCAAAAGGGAGACUAAUCACAAAAAAUGUUUUAAUGUCCCAAGAAAUUAUCAGAGAUAUCAAGCUAAGGAGUAAAGAGCAUAAUGUGGUGGUUAAAUUAGACAUGGCAAAGGCGUACGAUAUAGUGUAUUGGUUUUUCUUAACAAAGGUAUUCAGAAAGUUCAGCUUCUCAGAGGUCAUAGCUGAUAUGGUUUGGAGGCUAAUGUCAAAUAGCUGGUACUCGGUACUGCUGAAUGGGGUAUCACAUGGCUUCUUUACAUCGACUAAAGGGAUAAAACAAGGGGACCCCUUAUCACCGACACUAUUUAUUAUUGCAGCUGAGGUGCUUGCAAUAGGGUUGAACAAGCUACAUGAAGCUGGGAGGUACAGAGGUUAUGAUAUUCCGAAAUAGAGUCCAAAGAUCAACCAUUUGUCAUAUGCGAAUGAUACCAUUAUGUUUGGAUCAAUGGAUGGAUACUUCAUAAUAAAAAUGAUGUGGGUAUUAAAGAAGUAUGAAGAUGUUUCUGGUCAAUUCAUAAACAAAAAGAAAAGCUUCUUUUAUUUGCAUGAGGACACUCCACUGGCAGUAGGAAUCAAAAUCAGGAAGCUCACAGGCGUUAAAAUGUGUUAUUUACCAUUAACAUAUCUAGGAUGUCCGAUUUAUCAUGGAAAGAAGUGUAAAACACAUUAUGAAGAGAUAUUGAGAAAAAUAAGCUUUUAUCAAAUGGAGGAAGAUAUGUGUUAAUAUCUCAUGUCCUACAGUGACUGCCAGUAUAUUUUCUAUCAGCCAUGAAUCCAACGUAGGGAGUGAUAAAUCAAAGGCAUCGAUUGAUUGCAAAAAAAUUCUGGAGCAGGCCUGGGGGAGAAAAAAGGAAGCAUUGAGUUUCAUGAGAGGACGUGUGUUAUCCUAAAAUGGAAGGUGGUGUGGGAUUCAGAUCUUUAGAUGAUGUAACAAAUGCGUUAUUUAGUAACUUAUGGUGGAGGUUUAGAACAUCUACUGAUUCUUUAUGGGGAACCUUUAUGUGGAAUAAAUACUGUAAAAAUCAUCAUCCAGUAAUUUCAAGGGAAAGAGGUGCUUCACAUGUAUGGAAGAAGAUGGUACAAGCCAGAUAAUUAGUAGAGCAGGAGAUAUGAUGGAAAAUCAAAGCAGGAAAUUCCAGUUUUUGAUUUGAUAAUUGGACAAAAAAUGGCACGUUAUAUCACAUUGAGGAGAGCUUACAGGUUUAUGAAGUGAUGGAUGUAAAAGAAUGCAUCAGAAAUAGGGAAUGGGAUAAGGAAAAGUUAUUGGAAAGAGUGUCAGAAGAAAUGGCUUAGCACAUUAUAAAAACAAAUCAAUGCGACCUUGGUACAAAAAGAAAACGUUAAUGCUUGGUGGAUGACUAAUAGUAGUGGUUUGUUUUAAGUCAAGUCAGCCUUUGAGUUAGUGUAGAGAAGAAGGCUUGAACAUGAAUGGCAGGAGAACAAAGAUUCCUUUCAAAGUUAGGUUUUUUUGUAUGUAGGGCAUGGAAAUGGAGGAUUGCAACCGAAGAGAAUCUAAGAAAAAUGAGAAUUUCAACAUCAUCAAGGUGCUACUGUUGUGAGGAUUAUGCAUAAGAGACUAUGUCUCACCUUUUUCUAGGAGCUCCAUUAGCCAAAAACAUAUGGAGAUUUUUGCUACUUGUGCAGGAAUUAGCAUGGAAGGAGAAAAACUACACCAGAUCAUAAAAAAAUUGUUGAAUGAACCAGCUCCAUCAAAACUAAGAUACAUAUAUAAGGUUGUUCCAAAGUUAGUGAUGUGGGAAUUAUGGAUGAGAAGAAAGGAUAGAAGACAUGGGAAAGAUGUUGGCUAUAAUUUUGUGCAUUAGCAGAUCAUGAUUGCUAUACAUCAAUUUUUGAAGCUAAAAUACCCAUGGAUUGACGGAACUAGCAGGGGAAAUCCUGGGGAUAGCUCCUAUGCUUUUUUGCAUCAGAAACACAGUGAUAGAGACCUCGUAUAUGCAGAGGUUAGAUGCAUGGGAUUGCUACUAAAAUUGAAGCAGAGACAAUGGCGGUACUAAUGGCUUUAAGAAAGUGUAAGGAUCUUAAUAUACAUAAUAUAAUUCUUGAAACCGAUUCACUCAACUUAAGAAGUUUCAUUCUGGGGAAUGGAGGAUCCCUUGGCAGAUCACAAAAUGGAUUAAUGAAAUAAGGCAUCACAAAAGAGAUUCAAAUUGUAUAAUUAAACAUUCUUACAGAUAGGCAAAUCAGGUUGCAGGUAAGCUAGCUAAUGCUACUUUGGAACAACAAUCGCCAAUAUGUGUGAGAGAAUUUAUGCAUUUACCCAGCGAAUGCAGAAAACUGAUAAACAUAGACAAAACUCAAAUACCCAAAUUGAGAAUCAAAGCUAGAAGGAUAAAUAACAACAGGAGUUAAUUCAGAGAGAACAUAAUAGAUCCAGUAAUUACGUCGUUGAUGAAUACCUAAAAAUUUUACCUAGUUGACUACAAACGCCCCUUUGAUACUUGACACUUGUGUCACCCUUUAAUUUAUCAUGUUUUUCUUCGUAAAUGUUUAUAGCUAUGAUUCACUUGAACACAUUUAUGCUUUUCUAUUGAUUCUCAAUUACGAACCACUCCCUUGGGACUCGACCCCAACUCGCUAGUUGGGUUAUAUUACUACUCACGAUCGUUGGCACUUGAAUUGGAAGUAGUGUCUUGAAAUGUGAACUCAGUAGGCAGGAUCUUCUUUACCUCCCUCUCUAUCAUUUUUAGUGAUUUUUAGUGUUUCAAUUUCAUUUUAGGACAAAUUGCUUUCUGUUCGUGGUGGGGUGAGGUAUUUCCAUACCUACCUCUUGUGAUUAUUACUUUUGUUUAUAUAUUGGGUUUUGUGCUGUAAAUUGUAUUUUGGCACUGUUUUGUGGAUAGUUAAACUUGUGGCUCCUUGUUUUAAUUGCAAAUGGUUUUUGGACCCUUCUGGAAAAAAUUGCCAACUCUUGAAUGUGUUUGAAUGUGGUUGUUCUUCUACAAAUUUGAUUGUCGGUAAUGGUCAAUAACGAUGAAUUGAAUAGUGCUCUAAACCAAACAAAAAUGAAUGUGCGGCUACGAUGAGGCCAAUUGAAGUUGCAUAGGCAAUAUGUGAACUUUUUGCAUCUCGUUAGCUGAUUAUGGAAUUGAGUUUCUUGUGAUGAAGAUUACACACUAGGGGAAGUGUGGAGUUUUGUUUGAUAUUGGUGCAAAUGCCUUGUGUGAUAAGCUUACCGUGAGCAGUGUGUGAUGACACCUAGAAUUUGCCCUAUUGGUCCGGUUGACUAAGUGAUGCAAGUUCUUGAAAUGAUCUUAGGCAACAAUUUUAAAGAGUGAAACAAUUUUUCAUUAUACCUCUUUUGUGGUAAACCUUGUGAGUGUGUGAACUUUGGUUGAACACCCUUUUAGCCUUACCCUUUUUCUUGGAAGAAACUUGAUGCAAUUGUGACCUUUCUUUAUACAUUCACCCAUAAUCCUCAUGAAGUGUGGUUUGUUUGAAUAGCUCAACUUAGGCCAAUAUUCUAAGUUUGGGUGUGGUGAAAAGAUAAUAUAAAUCAAGAAGUGCAAAGAAGUCCCCCUUAAUCCAUGGUUUUGAGAAAGAUGGAACCCCUCAAUACAAAAAAAAAGAGAAAAGUAAUAGAAGAAGUAAAAAGAAAAAGAACAAAAAAGUUGUGAAAUAAAGUUGUGAAAGUUGCAAAAGAAAUGGGGUGUCCGGUAUUCCAUGACAAGUGAAUAAUACGGUGAAUUGUGAGCAUUAGUGCAAAUGUUAAAGAAAAUAAAAGAAAGUGUUGUUCAUACAAAAUUUCAUGAGGAUAACAACCACUGAGCCUAAAUGACCAUACAUGUACACUCAGCCCCGUUACAAGCCUUAAAAAGAUCUUUUUGAUCUUGAGUGAACUGAAACAAAUGUUGGUUGAAAAAUUAGGGCAAACCUAUGGGUGAAGUUAUGCAUGUGUUCAUCUCUGUGAGUGUGAGAUUUGUAUGCGAUUCCGGAGAUAUAACUUGUUGAACAACUGUGUGUGAAUAUGGAAUCAUCUUUGUCUGAGGGCAUUUGAGUACCUUUGUUGAGCUUGAACUUGCAUGUCACGCCCCGAGCCUACAGACUGGACGUGGCCGGCAUUCGAAGACCAUUGCUGGCCCCAAGCGAACCCUUGGCCUGGAUUUCUUAACUCAGCGGAAACCUAACUCAACAAAAUAACUCCAUGCAAUGCAAGGACAUAAAACAACUUAACUGAUAAAAUCUGCCCCAAAAAGGCAACUCGAGUCUCAAAAUAGAAUAUUUACAUAUAUACAUAAAUGAGAGACUCAAUACUAACUGACUGACUGACUGUCUAUGAAGCCUCUAAAAUUCUGAGAUGAAUUUUGGGACAGACCCCGCAACAUCCUAAUAAAACAAAACUAAGACAACACAAAAUAACAGAGUCCUCCGAAAAACAAGAGGCUCACCACUGACUCUGGAGUGCUCAGCUGGAUCAACGGCGUGCUGGAUGCUGAUCCUAGGUACCUACGUCUGCAUCAUAAUAAGAUGCAGGCCAACUGGCAUUAGUACAUGGAAUGUACGAGUAUGCGAGCUGGAAAGCUACACAACAACUCAAGCUUGAAAGGAGUACAAAUGAACUCUUACCGUGGCUCUAUUCAACUCAUGAAUAACCGAACUCAAUAUAAAGAAAUAAGACACAUGCAAUAUAUAUAAAUAGCUUGUAAAAUAGUGUAAACAACUUAGUUCGUUAAGGAUAAAGCAAUAACAAUUUCAACUUUACUUGUAUAAAAAUAAUAUAACUUUUGUGGGAGGUUCUUUAACCGACAACCACCACUAUGAGCCCUAGUGAUGAUACAACGUUUUACCUCACGUUGCCUAAGGACCAUCCUAUACCUUGCCGUGAUAUAGGACCUUACUUUAACUUAGUGGAUCCACUAGCUUAAUCUUACGUGAUCAUCUAAAAAGAAUGACCCGUCAUGUCCCAUGUUGGCUACAUAGUUCUUAUGGAGAGUUGAGUUAAUAUGAACUCACUUCCCCAAUUCAGAGCUCAAUACUACUCCUAAAAAUACUUUGUCUCAUAAGUGUUUUAAACACAUCUUUCUUUAGUUUGAGAUAAUUGCUCAAAGCUUAGCUUAAAAUCUCUUUUGGAAUCGAUGUUCCCCUUUUUUUUUGCUCAAAUGUGAAAACAUUUAAAAACUUCUUGGGAAUACAUAGUUCCCUAAUGCCUUUUGAAAAAUGAACUUGACUCUAUACUCUUGGCUUAACUUGAAACUCGAUACUCUUUACUUAACUUGAAACUCUAUACUCUUUACUUGACUUGAAACUUUGUACUCUUUACCUCACUUGACUUUAAUCCUAACUUUCUUGAAUUGAUUCAAGGAUGAUUUGUGUUUGGAAAGACCUCAUGAUGUGUAGGAAUGAUUUAGGACAGCUAAACUUAAGAGAAAUUACGAAAUUUAAUUUUUGAAACAUUGAAGUCCGUGUCCUGUCCGCGACGCGGAGCAGAUUUUUGUUCACAGAAGGAACAAGUCUGCGACGCAGACUUGUUUCAUGUAAGCUGCCCCACUUUUCUCCUUCAUGUUACCAACUUUACACCAUCUUAACUUCAAAGGUUCUUUCCCCAAACACUUGGGAUCAUUAAAAACCCUUAAUGCACAAUAGAUUAAAGUCGAAAACACAACCUAAAACAUAUCUCAAAUCCACAAGAAAUUCAACAACACAAAACCAACCCAACACUAUGAUCUCACAUACCUAGUAGGGAUCACCCCUGACGAUAUCCACGACGAUCUUUGACGAAACCUUGCUUGAUCUUCUCUUUCUCCCCCUUCUUCUCCUCUUUACUCACAAAACCCUCACUCUCACUCUUUCAAAAGGGAAAAACUGAUCUAAAAUCAGUCUAACACCGUAAUAUAUCCAAAAGAAUUGGUUAGGGAAAAGACCAAAAAUACCCUUAAAAUUUCCUGACGGACAUCCCUGCCAACAGCCCAACUUCCAAAGGACAUAACUUACUCAUAAAACUCGGAAUCGAGCAAACUCGGUGGCGUUGGAAAGAUCAUUCCACGAGCUUCGCAAACAUAACUGGAACUACACCUAACUAAUUCUGAGCUAGAAUUUAUGACUGUUCAAAGUUGGCCAAAAACUCACCUUUUUCCCAUAACCAAAUUUUCCAGAUUUUUAAAAGUUUCCAAAAAUGACUAUUUCCAAUUUUUAAGCUUCUUCCUAGUUAUGAACUUGCAAGAUGUCACAAUAUCUCCCCCUUGGGAACAUUCGUCCUCGAAUGAGGUUACUCUUACAAGGCUAAGGGUGUAACAUCAAUUUAAACACCCAACAAGCAAAUCAUGCAAACAACAACAACAACAUGCUCACUACAAUUUAAAGAGACACUAAGAAGGAAAUUAGUACCUUGAUCUGCAUUUCCUCCGGAUUCAAAGAGAUCUGGGUAUCUCUUCUUCAUGUCCUAUUCGGCUUCCCAAGUAGCUUCCUCAACAAAUUGGUUCCUCCAAAGGACCUUGAUUGAGGCUACAUCCUUUGUUCUCAAUCUGUGAACUUGACGAUCUAAAAUCUGAAUAGGAAUCUCCUCAUAAGAUAAACUAUCCUUGAUCCUAAUACUUUUAGUUGGCAGGAUCAAUGAAGGAUCUCCUAUGCACGUCUUCCACAUGGAGAUGUGAAAUACCGGAUGAACCGCUGCUAGUUCCUGUGGUAACUCCAACUCAUAAGCAACAUUGCCAAUCCUCUUGGCUAUGCGGUAAGGUCCAAUAUAUUGGGGACUAAGUUUCCCCUUCUUACCAAACCUCAUAACCCCCUUCAUGGGUAAAACUUUCAAAUAUACCCAAUCACCUACUUCAAACUCUGACGCCCUUCUCCUAACAUCAGUGUAGGAUUUCUGGCGACUAUGUGCCAUUUUCAACCUCUCUUGAAUCACCUUCACCUUCUCCAUAGCUUCGUGAACUAAAUCUGGUCCUAAUCAACUGUGCUUCACCAACGUCAAACCAUCCAAUAGGAGAUCUACAUCUUCUCCCACAAAGAGCUUCAUAUGGAGCCAUUUGGUAUGCUAGAGUGAUAACUGUUGUUGUAGGCAAACUCAAUGAGAGGUAGGUGAUCAUCCCAAUUACCUUUGAAAUCGAUCACACAAGCCCUCAACAUAUCUUCUGAAGUAUGAAUAAUGCGCUCUACUUGCCCAUCAGUCUGAGGAUGAAAGGCAGUACUUAAGUUCACCGUUGAACCCAAGCCUUUCUGAAAAGAUUUCCAGAACUGUGCAGUAAACUGUGCACCUCUAUCUAAAAUAAUAGAAAUUGGGACUCCAUGAAGUCUCACUAUCUCUUGAAUAUAUAACUUGGCAUAAUCUUUUGCUGAAUGGGUAGUCUUUACCAGUAGAAAAUGGGCUGACUUUGUCAUUCUGUCGACAAUUACCCAAAUAGAAUUAUGCUGUCUGCGAGAUCUUGGCAGCCCUGUGAUGAAAUCCAUAUUGAUCAUCUCCCACUUCCAUUCCGGAAGUUCUAUCCUCUGAGCCAAACCACCGGGCCUUUGGUGUUCAACUUUCACUUGCUGGCAAUUUGGAUACUUAGCAAUAAACUCUGCAAUGCCCUUCUUCAUGCCAUUCCACCAAUAAACUUCUCUCAAAUCACAAUACAUCUUGGUGGAACCCCGAUGAAUGGAAUAUCUGGAGCUAUGAGCUUCCUCCAUAAUCCUCUCUUGGAGUCCAUCUACCAUAGGUACACAUAAUCUACCUUGAUACCUAAAAAUACCAUCUCCCUCUUGUUCAAAAGCUAAUACUCUUUGUUUUUGAACAUUUGCCUUUAACUCAAGCAAAAUGGGAUUUUGAUCUUGUUUCUCUUUCACUUCUGACACUAGUGAUGACUCGACCCCGCUCGUCACUUCUAUUCCUCCUUCUGCGGAAUCUAUAAGUCUGACUCCCAGGCGUGCUAGUCUAUGCACAUCUUUUGCUAACUCUCUCUUCCCUUCUUCAAUAUGAGCGGUGCUACCCAUAGACAACCUGCUUAAAGAAUCAACAACAACAUUAGCCUUACCUAGCUGGUAAAGAAUACUCAGGUCAUAAUCCUUGAGUAAUUCUAACCACCUCAUCUGUCUGAGAUUAAUAUCUUUCUGAGUAAUUACAUAUUCAAGGCUCUUGUGAUCAGUAAAUACAUCGUCAUGCACAACAUACAAGUAAUGACGCCAUAUCUUCAAAGCAAAUACUACAGCAGCUAACUCUAAGUCAUGGGUUGGGUAGUUCUUCUAAUGAACCUUCAACUGUCUGGAGGCAUAAGCUAUAACCUUGCCAUUCUGCAUUAAAACACAACCCAAACCGACUCUAGAUGCAUCACAAUACACCAUAAAACCUUGAGUACCUUCUGGUAAAGUCAAAACCGGAGCAGUAAUCAACGUCUUUUUCAAUUCUUGAAAGCUUUUCUCACAAGCUUCAGACCAUUGAAAUUUCACUGUCUUCAUAGUCAACUUGGUCAAAGGAGAUGCAAUAGAUGAGAACCCCUCUACAAACCUUCUAUAAUAGCCCGCUAACCCCAAGAAACUCCUAAUAUCAGUUGGAGACGUGGGUCUAGGCCAAUUCUACACUUCCUCAAUUUUCCAAGUAUCAACUUAAACUCUAUCACCAGAUACAAUGUGGCCUAGGAAUGCCACAGACUUAAGCCAAAACUCACACUUAGAGAACUUGGCAUACAAUUCUUUAUCUUUCAAAGUUUGAAGAACUAUUCUGAGAUGACUAGCAUGAUCUUCUUCAUUUCUUGAAUAUAUUAGUAUGUCAUCAAUAAAGACAAUAACAAACAUAUCUAAAUAAGGUUUGAAGACUCUAUUCAUCAAGUCCAUAAAAGUUGCCGGUGCAUUGGUCAAACCAAAAGACAUGUCCAAAAACUCAUAAUGACCGUAUCUGGUUUUGAAAGUUGUCUUUGGAACAUCACAUUCCCUUACUCUUAAUUGAUGAUAGCUUGAUCUGAGGUCAAUCUUUGAAAAACAGGUGGCACCCUGAAGCUGAUCGAAAAGAUCAUCAAUCCUCGGAAGAGGGUACUUAUUCUUGAUGGUAACCUUAUUCAACUGGCGGUAAUCUAUACACAUCCUGAGGGAACCAUCUUUCUUUCUCAUAAACAAGACCGGAGUGCCCCAAGGUGAGACACUUGGUCGAAUGGAGCCCUUAUCUAGGAGAUCUUUCAACUGCUCUUUCAACUCUUUCAACUCUGCUGGUGCCAUUCUAUAAGGCGGAAUAGAGAUAGGACGAGUAUUUGGAAUGAGAUCUAUGCCAAACUCUAUUUCUCUCUCAGGAGGAAUUCCGGGUAGAUCAUCAGGAAAAACUUCUGGAAACUCUGUUACUAUAGGAACUAACUUAAAAGGAGCUCUCUCAACACUAGAGUCAUUAACUCGGACUAAGUGAUAGAUACAACCCUUUAAAACUAACUUUCCCGCGCUAAAGUAUGAAAUGAAAUGACCCUUAAGCAUUGCUGAACUACUACUCCACUCUAUGACUGGCUCACUUGGAAACUGAAACUUGACCACUCGAGUUCUACAAUCUAUUAAUGCAUAGCAUGCAUGAAGCCAAUCCAUACCUAAAAUGACAUCGAAAUCUACCAUGUCUAACUCAACCAAAUUAGCCAUGGUGCUCUUGUGAUUGAUAGAAAUAGGACAAUCACGACAAACUCUUUCUACUAGAAUAGACUCCCCAACAGGUGUAGAAACACAAAAGGGUUCACAAAGUCUUUCAGUAAGAACAUCAAACUUAUUUGCAACAUAAGGAGUUACAAAAGAUAAACUUUCUCCUGGGUCUAGCAAAGCAAACACAUCAAAAGCAAAGACUUUGAUCAUACCAGUGACAACAUUUGGAGAGUUCUCUUGCUCAUGGCGACUGGUGAUUGCAUAGAGGCGAUUUGCUCCUCCGCCGGUACUAGAAGUAGCUCCUCUAGGUGUCGUCCUGUCCGGGGAAGCAACUGAUGAAGAUAUAACCCUAUUGCCCAGAUUUCCACUACCUUGCAUGUUCUUAGGGCACUCCUUCAUGAAGUGACCCUCUUGUCCACACUUAAAACAACCUGUCUGGCCAUCACGACAUUUACCGGGGUGGGUUCUACCACACCUAACACAAGCAGGAAACAAACUACCUCCUUGUGCGACACUACCUAGGACUGUGCUGGUCUAGUCUUUAAAUCCUUCGAAUUCUGACCAUUAUGUUCCCCUCUGUAUCUGGGUGCAGGUGCUCUAGCAGAUGAUAGAGCAGGUCCUUUUUUGCAUUUGUUGGAAGGACGGACGAUUUGCAUUCCCUUUCUGCUGCCCAGACUCAUUACCGAUCUUAGUUCUCUUAUUUCUGAAUUCUUUUCGGUCCCUCAGCUUCUCUACCUCAACCUGCUGCACAAAGACCAUCAACCUUGAUAUGUCCAUGUCCCCGAUAAGCAUUGCAUCGCUUCCUUAUUUACUCGACAACCGAGACAGCCCAGCAACAAACAAACUCAUUCUACUCCUCAUGUCCGCGACCAUCUCCAGAGCAUAGCGGGAUAGCUGUGUGAACUUCAGAUUAUACUCAUGAACACUUAAAGAAUCCUGCUUAAGUGUGAGGAACUCACGUACCUUGGCCUCCUUCAAUUCUCGAGGAAAGAAACGCCCUAAGAAAGCUUCCUCAAAACAAGCCUAAUUCGCAGGUGGUGCAUUCUCAACUCUAUCCCCUUUCCACUGGUCGAACCAAGUUCUAGUAACAUCCUUCAAUUGAUACGCAGCUAGUUCAACCCGCUCAGUAUCUGCCACAUGCAUCAUAUCAAAAAUCUUCUUCAGCUCCUCAAUGAAGUUCUCUGGAUCCUCAGUAGUACUCGAACCCAUGAAACUCAAAGGAUUCAUCCUCAAGAACUCACGAAUCCUUGAAGUGUCAGCUCUUUCAUGUCGAGCUCCCCUUUGCUGACCAAUCUGAUUAGUUACAACUUGACUCAGAAUUCUAAUUACCUCUCUGAAUUCGGCAUUAGAAACUUCCCCUUGAUGUUGUACUCGCAGUGCAUAAGGUAACUCUUGCUCCUCAACAUAACAUCUAGGAAGAUGCCCUCUCCCAACUCUUUGUGGAGGCAUGACUAUCUAAAACACGCGCAAGCAUGAAUUAGAAAGAAACUUUUUAGAGAUAAACUCUAACGCACAAGAUGAGGGUGAAAGAAAUGAGAAAUCUUCCUAAAUGUUGUAGCCUCCCAAUUAUAGAUGUGGUGCGCUUCAUGCCAAUAACUAGGACUCUACAGACACGGCUUCAUAGACUCCCUAGGACUCUUGAACUCUGUGCUCUGAUACCAAGUUUGUCACGCCCCGAGCCUACACCCUGGACGUGGCCGGCACUCGAAGAACAUUGCUGGCCUCAAGCGAACCCUUGGCCUGGCUUUCUUAACUCAGCGGAAACCUAACUCAACAUAAUAACUCCAUGUAAUGCAAGGACAUAAAACAACUUAACUGAUAAAAUCUGGCCCAAAAAGGCAACUCGAGUCUCAAAAUAGAAUAUUUACAUAUAUACAUAGAUGAGAGACUCAAUACUAACUGACUGACUAACUGUCUAUAAAGCCUUUAAAAUACUGAAAUGGAUGUUGGGACAGACCCCGCAACAUCCUAAUAAAACAAAACUAAGACAACACAAAAUAACAGAGUCCUCCGGAAAACUAGGAGGCUCACCACUAACUCUAGAGGGCUCAGCUGGAUCAACGGCGUGCUGGAUGCUGAUCCUGGGUACCUGCGUCUGUAUCAUAAUAAGAUGCAGGCCAACUAGCAUCAGUACAUGGAAUGUACGAGUAUGCGAACUGGAAAGCUAAACAACAACUCAAGCUUGAAGGGAGUACAAAUGAACUCGUACCUUGGCUCUAUUCAAUUCAUGAAUAACCGAACUCAAUAUAAAGCAAUAAGACACAUGUAAUAUAUAUAAAUAGCUUGUAAAGCAGUGUAAACAACUUAGUUCGUUAAGGAUAAAGCAAUAACAAUUUCAACUUUACUUGUAUAAAAAUAAUAUAACUUUUGUGGGAGGUUCUUUAACCGACAACCACCACUAUGAGCCCUAGUGAUGAUACAACGUUUUACCUCACGUUCCCUAAGGACCAUCCUAUACCUUGCCGUGAUAUAGGACCUUACUUUAACUUAGUGGAUCCACUAGCUUAAUCUUACGUGAUCAUCUAAAAAGAAUGACCCGUCAUGUCCCAUGUUGGCUACAUGGUUCUUAUGGAGAGUUGAGUUAAUAUGAACUCGCUUCCCCAAUUCAGAGCUCCAUACUACUCCUAAAAAUACUUUGUCUCAUAAGUGUUUUAAACACAUCUUUCUUUAGUUUGAGAUAAUUGCUCAAAGCUUAGCUUAAAAUCUCUUUUGGAAUCGAUGUUCCCCUUUUUUUUUGCUCAAAUGUGAAAACAUUUAAGAACUUCUUUGGGAAUACAUAGUUCCCUAAUGACUUUUGAAAAAUGAACUUGACUCUAUACUCUUGGCUUAACUUGAAACUCGAUACUCUUUACUUAACUUGAAACUCUAUACUCUUUACUUGACUUGAAACUCUGUACUCUUUACCUCACUUGACUUUAAUCCUAACUUUCUUGAAUUGAUUCAAGGAUUCAUGAUUUGUGUUUGGAAAGACCUCAUGAUGUUUAGGAAUGAUUUAGGACAGCUAAACUUAUGAAAAAUUACGAAAUUUAAUUUUUGAAACAGUGAAGUCUGUGUCCUGUCCGCGACGCGGAGCAGAUUUUUGUUCACAGAGGGAACAAGUCUGCGACGGAGACUUGUUUCAUGCAAGCUGCCCCACUUUUCUCCUUCAUGUUACCAACUCUAAACCCUCUUGACCUCGAAGGUUCUUUCCCCAAACACUUGGGAUCAUUAAAAACCCUUAAUACACAAUAGAUUCAACUCGAAAACAUAACCUAAAACAUGUCUCAAAUCCACAAGAACUUCAACAACACAACCACAACCUCACCAACCACAACUACAAGACUUCAAUAAACACAACCAAAUCUUUUCUCGAAAAUUAAAACGAAUUUGGUGUGUGUGGGAAUGAACCAACCCAACACUAUGAUCUCACAUACCUAGUAGGGAUCACCCCCGACGAUCUUUGACGAAACCUUGCUUGAUCUUCUCUUUCUCCCCUUCUUCUCCUCUUUACUCACAAACCCUCACUCUCACUCUUUCAAAAGGGAAAACUGAUCUAAAAUCAGUCUAACACCUUAAUAUAUCCAAAAGAAUUGGUUAGGGAAAAGACCAAAAUACCCUAAAAAUUUUCGGACGGACUUCCCUGCCAACUACCCAACUUCCAAAGGGCAUAACUCACUCAUACGAACUCGGAAUCGAGCAAACUCGGUGACGUUGGAAAUAUGAUUCCACGAACUUCACAAACAUAACUGGAAAUACACCUAACUCAUCCUGAGAUAGAUUUAUGACUGUUCAAAGUUGGCCAAAAACUCACCUUUUUCCCAUACUUAACCAAAUUUUCCAGAUUUUCAAAAGUCUUUCCAAAAAUGACUAUUUCCAAUUUUUAAGCUUCUUCCUAGUUAUCAACUUGCAAGAUGUCGCAUUGUAUUUGAAGGAAGUAUUUUGUACUUGAGAAUCUUUGAUAAUGGUGAGUCACAACUUGAAUCUCUGUGUGCACAAUUGAUCCUUGCAUGAGUAAGUUGAGUCUUGUUGUGUGCAUUCAUGAUUGAGUCUUGUGUAGCACUAUUUGAGACAUCCUUUUUGAACUGUUGAACUUGAGGACAGGAAAAAGUUUAAGUUGGGGUGUUGAUGAGUCCGAGAUUUGAACUCAUUUAGGGUUUAUUUGUAUAGAUUUAGUGUCCUCAAAUGCUUAUUUUGUGUCAAUAACUGAUGUAAAACCCUUGAUUUCCAAGUGUAUGGAUUGAUGAACAAAGCAAGGACAUUAAUUGGCAAAAAGGAACGAAGCGAGCUGAAAGAAUGAAGAAAAUCAAGCUUGGUGAUCGCCAAGUCCACCUGGUGAGUCGCCGAAUGGCUACUUGACCACCUAAAGCUCCAGUGUGCCAAGCCUUGAAGGAAAAAUCCAAGUUGGCGAGAGAAAGGAGCAGUUGGCGGAUCGCCUAGUGGUUCCGUGAUGCAGUACUGGAUCGCCCAAAGUUAUAGACCUUGAGGAUGCUGAAGGCCAAGGCAGAAGGGCAAUGGAAUUGACCAAAAGGCGAAUUGCCUAGUGGAUCAAUUAGCCCGACUUACUUCGCCGAGUGACUCUUCGUAGAACAUUUUUGGCGUCUAUAAAUACAUUUUUGAACAUUUAGUUUAGUAUCAUAUUUUCAUUACAUCAAAUUUUCAAUUUGGAAUUGUAAUUAUUCUGAGUAUUGAGACAAGUUUUCUUUAGUUUUUCCUAAGCUUUGGAGAAUUGAAAUUUUUCACUUUUGCGAAAUUGGAAGUGGUCUUUGAGAUUCUUCAACUUGGACCAUUGUUAGGAUGAAAUUAAUCUUACCCAGUUGGUGGAAACUCAAUUUGGUAACGAUUUUUAUCUUUUUUAUGAUGUCUAGCAAAAACCCCAAUUCUUGGGGUGUGAUUAUGUGAUUAUGGGCUGAUUUAGUUUAUGAGUAUUGCUAAUUGUUAGUUUAAAUGUUGUUUAGAAGUGAGUUCAAUCAUUAAUUGUGGUUUAAUUUAAGAAUUAUAGUUGCAAAUGCAGUUCUACCUUUGUGUUUUAGGCUUGUUCGAGAGAGAGGUUUUAAAACUAAGAUUAUUGAUUGAUGGUCAAUGGGUAUUGGGUUGCCAUGGGUUCAACUCGAGAGAGUGAAUCCUAAACCUUUUUCCACAUAUUCAGCUCGAGAGAGUAAAUGGACUAAAGUGCAAGUUGUUCUUAUUUUGCAUGAUUCUCGAUGUUCGAGAGAAAUCGACUUGAUUUAGGGUAAAUUGUUUGAGAGAAAGUUUACCUCCUCUAUAGUCUAGCUUACUCACUAAUAUUUACCUAUUUUCUAUUAGUUGCAAUUACCCAUUUGUCGACAUUAGCCUAUAAUCGAAUUACAUCCCAAGAACCCGUCUCAUUAUUGUUAUUUCGUAUUGUUUACUACUGUUGUAGUUGAUAAUUUCAAUCCAAAACCCCUUUAUUUGACAUUCGUGUCACCCUCUUAUUUGAAUCAUGUUUUUAUUCGAUAAUGUCUAUUCUUAUGACUGAUUAAACCAUGUUCACACUUUACCAUUGAAUAUUAAAAACGUACCGCUCCUUGUGCUAUUUGACCCCAACUCAUUUAGUUAGGUUUUAUACUGACUAGCAAUCGUUGACACUUAGAAUUGGAUGAAGUGUCUUUGAAACGUUAAUCAAAAUGGCGCCGCUGUCGAAUGUUGUCGGCGACUCGCCGAAAGGCCCUCCCCAUCUCCGACAUGCCAAUUUUUCUGGGAAUUUUUAAGUCAAUCCUUUCGGGGGGCCCAAUCUGGCUCGCCAAAGUGAUUCGGUGACUCACCAAUCGAUUCGGCGAGUCUCUCUGCAACUAUUUUUCUGCUAUUUUUCUUGAACUGUUCCUAACUUUCUAUGACGUUUUUGCAGACAUGGCUAGAACCAACCUCGACAUGCCACCCCGUAAAAGGGUGCGGGUCAUAGUGAUAAAUGAAGGGGCAUGAAACCCUUCUAAAAAGGGACGGAAAGAGGCUCCAAAGGGAGGAAAAGGCAAAGGCAAGAAGCCCAGAUCUAAGGUACCGGAGCACAACUCCAGCAGUGAAAGAGAGUCCUUUGACUCCUAAGCUGCAUUAUCUGAGCCGAGGAUGACCAACUACUAUAGUAUCGGUGGGCAGAAAAUUGUACUAGGUCUUGCCCAGACUUAUCGAGAGCUCCAGAGGCCACCUUCCCUACAACAGAUGCAGUGUUAGCUCCGGAACCGACUGUGGCCACAGUGCCCCCGAGGUCCCUCCUCUCAGGCUACUCAACAGAUUAAAAGCUGAUGGGUUGCAGUCUAUUCUUGAAGAGAAGUUGUUGUCCAUAGAGGGCUUAGAGGGCAAGUACACUAUAUUAUUGGACACACUCAAGUGGCAUAGGUUCGAAAUCUUCACCAGGCCCCGAGGCCCGUAUAUCCCCACUUAGGUCCGUGAGUUCUAUUCUUCUUACGAUGAUCUGGUUCCUCAGGGGAAGAAUAAAGCCAGUACCUUCAGACCAGUGAAGUCUGUCAUGAUUCGAGGAAAAGAAGUUGGGUAUAGCAGCGCUUACAUAAACGUUGUCUUUGCGAGAGCCUCAGGGUUUGAGCAUGAAUAUAAGGGCCUGGCGACAACUAAGUCCCUGGAUGAAUACUGACAUGCAAAAUCUGAGAAUGUAACAAUUAUAUAUUGAUAAUUUGACAUUCGAAAACUGAAGCAUGAUCAUCUAUUUUGCUGACCUAGCAAGUGCAUUUAAUGAACAAGAAAGAACUACACAACUAGGGUUCUGAGUUUUAUGUAAUGGACUAAGCAACUAACUCACGAAUACAUGAUAAUUAGAUUAGGAACACAAUAACAUCUAAAUCUCAACAAUUAUCUAAGGUUUCUAGAAACCCUAGGACUAAACAAGAUAUAAGGUAAGAGUCUGACUAAAUUCUAGGGACCUAGUGGACGAAAGGAAUCAACUAGUGAAAUCCCACAUACCUGGUGAUGUAUUUCACGGAUGAAUCUUUCGAUUUCGGGGUUGGAACGGAAGAAAACUUGUUGCAUGUUAUUGAGAAAGCUAUCGCUUGUUUCUUCCCUUUUUUCUCUAUGUUUUGAUUAAUUUAGAAGAAUGGUCGACUAGGGUAGGUUAUGAUUAAGUUACUAGGCUUAAACUGAGUAAAACGACGUAGUUUAGGGGUUAAACAAUGUAGUUUAGGUGCCACCCGCAUAGGGGCAAAGACCAAAUGACCCCCGACUUAAAAUCUGACGAGGCCGACCACGGACUCUAUGAUGGACCGUCACAAGGACAACAGCCCGUAAAGUGGGUUGUGGUAUGUUGGCCAGUGUACUGGUUCAAGGAAGGGGUCAACCACGGCCCGUGGAAGGAUCUCUGGUCUGAUGCCUGAGCCUGGUGAGCUUCUGCCUCACUUCAAUGAGCAGUCCCACGGCUCGUUAGGGGGACCAUGGCCCGUUAAAGGCUCUCUGGUCCACCACCUAAGGGUGAGUGUGAACCACAAUAAGGGUGACGGACCAUGGUCCCUUUGAUGGUCCGUGAACCCUUCCGUGGUUCACCUUUUCUGUUUGCUGCUGAAAGUUCUAAGUCUGAUUUCCGAGAUGUUACAAGAGUGGUAUUAAGUGUGAAUAAAUGUUGAUUUGUUUUAAUACAUUUUAAAAGAUCUUUUAUAAAUUGGAAUCCUCCUUUUAGGUUGUUUAUGCUAUUAAUGUCUAUGAUGACAUGUUAGAUAAUAUUUGUAACAGAUUACCAUUUUUUAAGCCAUCACCUUGGGUUGUUAUUUCUUUGGUGUGGGGGGGUUAGUCUGGACCCCAACCAUGUCUAUUAAUUCAAAAAGUCACAGAUAUUGGGGGGACAUGGACCAUACCCCUAACCAACUGAUUACAUCAUAAAAAGCUUCAGAAAAAGAGUGGGGAAGGAGUAGCCUAUACAAUCUCUUCUCUAUCAAAAAAAUCAAAUCAAUUCUUUGUCUACAAAAAUAAAUUAUUACAUUUUCAUAUUUUUUCCUCAUGCAAGGUACUUGCCACUUAUCUAGUUAAAUUAGACAUUUGACCUCUUGAGAAAGAGAGUGCCAAGAGAAGAAAUAGGUUUUAUUUUUAUUAGUAGAGGACAUAUUGACAAAUUAAUCAACCACCAUAUUAGUUUCUCGAUAGCAAUGAGUGAAGUUGACCUUGAUAUUGGUAACACUUAUGUUAGUAUCAUAUAUGAUCUUUUUCAGCUUUAGAUUAGUGGUGUUUAUGUUUUUCAACAUGUUAGUGAUUACCAAAUAAUUCAUUUCAAGAUCAUGAACAUUGCCUUUAGUCCUAACACUCCACCAAUUAUUGAAAAUUAUUCUAAUAGGACCAGACCGAUGAAUAAUGGUGAAGGGAGGCACCAAUGUAAUUCCACAUAUGAGUUGCAGCCUUCCCUUGUGUAAAUGUGUGUUGAAUGGAAUUUGUUUCAGGCCAUUGCAACAAUAAUAUUCAGCAUAUGAAUGAUUUCAAAAUCUAGCUACCACCUCAUUAAAAGGUAGUUUCCCUUUGUAUAGCCUCCAUGCAAGAAAGGAGAUCUUAAAAGGAAUAAAUACUCUUCAUAAAUACCUAUAAUCACCUUACAAAUAACUUACUUGUAUAAACCUUUUUUAUAAGUACUUUUUUUAUUUGUAAAGUACAUCGUUGGGUGGCUAGGUUAGAACCCGUAGUCGCCUCUGUACUCAAAGAAUUUGUGUUGUGCUACCCAACACCUUGUUUUGUCACCCUUGCUCCUUGACUUUAAGAAGGCUCCCUGACUUGAUAACAUUUUCUCAUGUGUAUAUACUUUGUUAUCGGUAGUGAACCUAACUGCUAUCACCAACUUUUUAUGAUUCCUUUAAAUUACAUUAAUUUAUCUUAAAGAUUUCAUUUUAGUUGCAAUAUGGAUAUUCACCCAUAUGAGGAUACUCCACAUGUGAGUCCAUAUGUUGAUUUGCAUUUAGCAUCAUAACCAUAUUUAUGGUGGUCAUGUAGAGAUAUAGAUAUGAAUUGUAACAAUCAAAUUCAAGAAUAUCACACUAGAAAUUUAAACUUUCAACUUAAAUUAAUUUUGAUCCACUUUUGCCGCUACACUAAAAAUUUUCUCUCAUGUAAAGAGAUUCAUUAAUUUAUUUACAUAAACAGAAACCUUUUAUAAGUACAUUACAUCAUCCCGAAAACUAUGUGAUAUGAGCUAAAAAAGAAUUAGUCAAUGUUUCCUUUCCUUUUUUUGGGUAUAGUGGAAAAACUAAUAAACUACUUUAAACCUUUCAAAUUCUACAUGGUUGAAAUCAGCAAGGAGAAAUAACUCCAUUUCUUUGAGAAGUGUUUCCCAUACUAUCAUAUCUUCCUCGUGCUUGUGUCUUCAUUCUCUAAAAAAAAAUCUGCACAUCAGUUUACCUCCCUCCAAGUUAUUAGUUUGGAUUCUUUGAAAUUAAUGAUUUUCCUAGUAUAUACCUUAUCAAUUUCAUUAGUAUUAUCUCCAACGUGUUAAGAUAUAAGAAUUUUAAAAUAAGCAUUUUUGCUCAAUCGAAUUUCAAUUUCAUUCUUUCCAUAUACGCCAUAUAAUAUAUAGAAAUGUUAGAAAUUAUGACAUUAGCACUAUAAGAGGGUUGCCAUAUGUUGCUUAUGAUAUCAGCGAGUCAUUCAAGUUGUAGCACCACAAAAAUUUCUAUGUUAAGAUCCUAACCAUUCCUGAAUUGCGUAUAAGAUCGUACUGAGUGACUCUUAAUUUUUCUUAGGUGUUAAGGUAAAUUGUUUAGUGUGGGAAUAAUUUUGGAUAUCAAUUAAGGUCACUAGAAUCUCCUCGAACAAAGUUAAGUUGAAAUUUCCUUACCAAAUAAAUUUUUAUUUAAGAUUCUACUUGGGUCAACUUCAAACGACCAUAUCUCUUAGAAUAUAAAGAGUUAUGUGUCCCAUAACCUAUCAAAUUAAAGGUAUUUGAAUCUUCUUUCCAACUCCACUAAUUUCGCAACAAUCCGAGUUUUGAGUAAAAUAUUUAUGACCAUUUUAGUAACCAGAUACAGUGCAGUGACGAAUUAACCAACAUGAAAACAUUAAAAAAGGUAUUUUUGUCUUUUUACCUUUAAGAAAAUCAUAAACAAAUUUCUUGACUAAUUAAAGACCAAAACCAAUUAGAUUUUCAUCUAUUAAUCCCCCAUUCUCUUCUAUCUAAAUCCCUAGGACAAAACCCUAAGGGAAAAAUCAAAGUAGAAGACUCCGUUCAAGAUUUUUUCAAUCUUUUUCAAGAUUCUUCUUCAAGGUAAGUCUUUCUCCAAGAAUUUCAUUCUUUCCAACUCAAUUUUCUUCAUACAAUUAUGAAUCAUUAAUGAGAAUCAUAAUUCUUGGCCAUAGAGUUUCAAGAAACUAAUUGAAGAAAUCUCAAGAAAGGUUUUCUUGGUUUUUCUCCUUCAAGCUAGGAUUUCAAGGCUUCUCAUCAAGUUCUUCUUCAAGAUUCUUCAAGAACCUUGUUCUUCCAGGUAUGUAAGGCUAUCAUAGUGUUGUACUAGUUCAUCCUCAUGCCUUACAUCGACUUUCAAAUCAGUAAUAGAGUAAUAUAUGAUUCUAUCCCUAUAUUUGAGUAUUCUUGAGAUGAGUUGAUUUUCAGUUCUUGAUUCUUUUUAAAAUUUUAUUCUUAAUUAUUGAAUUACUAUAUGUUAUGCAGUAAGAUUCUUAAAUUGAUUCGUUCAUGUCUAUAUUUCAACAUCAACCCUAUGAAUUGAGUAUUAAAAAGAUUAGUAGUAUUGUUGAGUUUCGAGUAUUGAGUUUCCAUAUUGCUAUUAAGAUCCCUGAUUUGAGUCAUUCAUGUCCAUAAUCCCAGAUGAACCCUAUGAAUUGAGUCAUAAAUUUUGAGAAGCUUUUAAAGCCAACACUUGAGUUUUAAACUGAGUUUUGAGGAAGUAAAGAUGAGUUUUGAGAAAGAGUUUCUAAAAUAUUAUUAGUAUGACAAUCAAGUACGCCAUCAAUAUUUAGGCAGUAUGGUAUGACUUUACGAGUCAUCAAUGAUCAUAUUAUAAUAUUAUUUUGAUAUGUUAUUAAGAAAGAUUUUUCAAGUAUGAGUUGAGUAAGAUUAUAAGGGCAGUAUGUACUUCCAGAGGCAUCAAUUUUUGCAUUGAUAAAAGAGAAACUGAGAUUUCUAAAUGAGUUAUGAGUUCAAAGGUUAUUUCCAGAGUAGUUACCUCUUUUAAGAGGGUAGUUUGAGCAAUUAUCUCAAACCAGAGGAAGAGUUAUGUUUUUAAGCAUAUGAGCAUGAGUAUAUAUAUUAUUGGGAGUAGUAUUGAACAGCGAUAUGGGGAUGAGUUUAAACAACUCAAAAUCCUCAUAAACCAUGUCUGGAACCAUGGGUAAAGGGUCAUACUUUUUUGAUGAUUCCUUAUUGCUUUUAAGCAUAACUUAGUAGAUCCACUUAGUUGAGGAGUUCUAUACCCCGACAAGGUAUAUGAUAGUUCUGGCAGCAUGGGCAAGAUGUUGUAUCGUCAGAUAGCUCAUAAUGAUGGUUGUCGGUUAGAGAAUCUCCCAAAUGAGAGUUAUUAUUGUAUCUUUACAUACAAUUGAGUUAUUAUUGUAUCUUUACGUACAAUUGAGUUAUUAUCCACUUUUUAAAAAUCUUUCCAUAUAUUGCAUCAUUAUUGUGACUUUAUCUUAAGUUGGGUACCUUAAGUUGAGGAUCUUGAGUUGAACUAUGUUUCAUUGAGUUGAGUAUCCUUAUUAUUGAGUUGAGCCCUAUUUCUUUGAGUUGAGUUGAACUAUGUUUCACAGAGUUGAGAACUUUAUUGUUGAGUUGAGCUUGUUUCAUUGGGUUGAGUACCUUACUAGUGAGUUGAGUAUCUUGUACUUGAGUACUUCUGAUUUGAGAAAGUUUGAGUAUCUCUGAGUAUCCUUGAGUAUUCCUUGAUUUGAGUGAGUUUGAGACAAGGUAAGUAUGUUUCCUUCGAUUUCAAUUCAAGCUUAUGUUAUACUUUAUAUUUCCCCUUGCAUGCUCGUACAUUCAAUGUAUUGAUGCCAUUUGGCCUGCAUCAUCUCAUGAUGUAGAUACAGGUAGAUAGGUUCAUCAACAGGCACUUCGUUGAUACCACUUGCAGUUCAAGUUAGCCAUGGUGAGCCUCCUUGCUUCCGGAGGAUUCAAUUUACUUUUCAGUUUUGUCAGGAUGUUGUGGGUCUUGUCCUGACUUCCAUCUUUGUCAUUUAAAGGCUUCAUAUAUAGAUAGUAGUGUAAUAUCCCAUCUUAGAAAGGGCUAAAUAUAUAAAGAAUAAAUUUGGAAAGAGCCAAAUCUGAAAUUUUGCAAGUUAUGCUAAGUUAUGAGUUUUGGGUCAACUUCAAACGACCAUAACUUUCAAUAGAUGAUGAAUUAGGUGACCCACAAGAUAUCAAAUGAAAGGUCUUGAAAUCCUCUUUCCAACUCAACCAAGUUUGCUAAGUUUCAAGUUCGGAUGAGGAAGAUGAUCCCAUUUGUAAUCAUCAUGUCCAAUUAAGGAAAGUUACCCGAAAAUAUGAGGGAUAUUUUGGUAUUUUCCUAACCCCUUUAGCUUAAAACGUUUUUGUUAUUAUUUUUGGGUCAAAUCUGAUUUGGAUCAGUUUUACAAAUCCUAAAUUAUGCUUAGGGUUUUGAGAGGUGUUCAUGAAGAGGAAAAGAGGAGAAGAGAGGGAACAGUCACUACAACAAAUUUGAUUAUCAUGGAUGAAUAAUUUCGUCAUCUAUAAAUCGUAUUUCGUCACUAAAACUCUUGUGUGACGAAAAAAAUUUCGUCAAUCAAUCGUCACUAAAAGUAUACAAAGACGAUUUAGUGCUUCAUCGCUAAAAGUAUUAUAUUAACUACAAAAAGAAAAAUCAUCCCCAAAUGAAUAAACAUUUGUGACGAAUUUAUUUAUGUUAAAAAAUAAUAUUUUUUUGUAGUUAAUAGUAUGUUUUGUCACUAAAAAGGUUAUUACUAUCGACAAAAUUAUUUCGUCGUUAAUUAUUUAGGUUAAUUAGUGACGACAUCAAUUGUCUCUAAAGUGAUAUGUAUUUAGUAGUUGAAUAAAUGUAAUAUCGUCACUAAUGACUAUUUUUAAUAUACAAAAAAUCAUUUUAUCCUUAAAUGUAUAAAUUAAGGACAAAUUUAUUAUUAUAAAGAAGGUUGAUAAUUUUGUGGUUAAAUCUAUCAUUUUGUCACUAAAAAUAAUGUUUUUACCGACAACAUGUAUUAUCACAUUAAAUUAUCAUGAUUAGUGACAAUUACAAUUGUCAUAAAAUAAAAAAAUAAAUUUGUAUUCAAUAAAAAGGAGGAAAUUGCGACAAAUAUAUUUUUGUUCACUAAAUGGCGAAUUUAUUUAUUUCGUGACAAAUAUAUUUGUCUUAAAAAGUUUGAUUUAGUCGUUGCUAAAAGUUACCUUUAAUGACAAAAUCUUUUGUCACCAAUUGCAUUUAUUGAUGACAUUUAAUUAUUUUAUAUCAAUGUGAUUUUUUAAAUUAUAGAGUUGCAUAAAUCUAAAAUUAAAUAAGAAAACAUGCUAAAUAAUAAUGAAAUUCACCCAUGAUCAUACAAUUGAAAACAACUAAAAUAUAUGUAGGUAAUAUGUCAUUACAAGCUCCUUAAAUUAAAAUAAAAUAUGUCCAAUAACAAGCAAAUCUAACUAAAAUAGAAGAAAUAUUACUCCUAAACUGAGACUGAAAAGUAGAAGUUUCUAUCAAAGUACCAAUAAUGUGGUGAUACUUAGUUUGCAUUAGUCUUGAUUCAAUUCUCACCAUUUAUACUUGUGUAAAAAAAAGAAAAAGAAUUUAUAAGAUUUCAUAUAAAGUAGAAUCUGCAAGAUUACAUUAUGUUUUUCAUACAUUGUAAUGCCAAGUUUCUGCAAAGAUAAAUCAAUCAUACAUAAUAUGAAGCUACACAUAUAUACGAAAUAUAUCCCCACUGCUAUUUGUGGUGUGCAAGAAGUACUUCACAAUGUGUUGAUGCUAUGGGUGGCUGAAACUGAAACACUUUUGUUUUGCAGAUAAACAUGCUCAUAUUUUGCGAAGGGAAAAUAACAUGUGUUAAUGCUAAUAAGAUCAGGAAUAAAAACAUUCUCAGAGGUCACAUGGCUCACUACAAAUUCUACAAAGUUUAAUGUUUAUACUUCCAUCAUGGGGAAACAAGAGGUAAAUGAUAUAUGUUAAUUGUCUGAAUACGCCAGAGGUAAUCACCAAUUAAAUACCUGGUGGUGCCCAUCACUUCUAGAACACCAAAUGCUAUAGAUUGCGAUGUGUUAGUAGGAAAAAUGACAGCCAAGGUGAAAAUGUAAGGCUCGAGGAACCUGUGUUUCACUAGUAGGCUUCAACUGGUCAAUACCAUGCUGCUGCAUAUACAUGUAUACUGGUCUAUUAUUUUCUCACUCCCUAAACAGGUGGUGAAAGAUAAAAAGCUGUUUGCAGGAAAAAUACACUCCAACAAACAAAAUUCAUGGGCUGAAUUGAUCACAAUAAGUAACUUUUCUUCAAUCUAUGCCUAAAAUAUCAAGCAAUGUCCUCACAUUAAGUCACCAAUCCUUCAAUAGUUAGGGGUUCAAAGAAUAAAAGAAAUUACAAUCCGUAAAGUCAACAGAUACCAAGAAAAUAAUCAAAUUUCACCAACCAAAAGGUCUGUUAAACUUAUUUAUAUCAUAUCCAUACUUUUCCUUCCACAACCUCCAUAAGAAACUAAUUUUCAAACAUUGAAACAAAUUAAAAACAAGAAAUUGAAGAAAAGAAAUUCUUAUCAAUUUAGGAAGAGGAAAUCUGAAAGGUAGGUCGAAACAAAUUGGGUAAUAUGUAGCAGAAUUGGCGAUAAGGGUAUUCCCAAUUUUCUGGAAAAUGGGAUAGAAUUACAAUGGAAUUGUGAAUAGGAAAUAUUACAUGAAUGGCAAAUUAUAGAUUUUCAGAAUUUGAAUUUGGUAAUCUUAUCAGAAUUUCUCCUUUCAUGGGAUAUAGUAUGCAAGCGAAAAGGAAAAGGACGACUUCGGAUCACUGAUUGUGUGUUAUGGAAUGAAGUUGCAACAGUAAAGUAUGUCUGGAAUAUAGCCAACAAAGUUGAUAACCUAUGAAUAAAAUGAAUGAAAAAUGUGUAUAAAGGGGGUUGACUGAUAGGAAUAUACACCUAAAUAAGACAAUUGCGGGUACUAGAAGAAGAUUUGAGGUAAGAAGAACAUAUAUAGUGUUGGAUGCUGUGGAAAUGGAUGAUUCAAGGCAUGAGGAAAAUACACAAUUAUAAAAUAACAAUUAUUUUGGACUAUCUAUUUUUAGUAAAUUCGACAAGUAAAGUGGUUCGGAGGGAGUAUCUUUUCUUAAAUGUCAGCAUAGUAUUUAAUUUAUGAAUAUGUGUUGCAGGCAAUGUGGGAAACCAUUCAAGCCAGAGAAACUGCAUGCCCACAUGAAGUGCGUGCCUAUUUCUAUCAUUUCAGACCAGGGUUCACAGUUCACUUCCAGCUUUUAGAGGGCUUUUCAGGAGGAGUUGGGCACCCGUGUCCACCUUAGCACAACUUUUCACCCACAGACGGAUGGCCAGUCGGAGCGUACUAUUCAGUUCCUUGAGGAUAUGUUGCAGGCCUAUGUUGUGGAUUUUGGAGGUCAGUGGGACCAGUUCUUGCCUUUGGUGGAGUUUGCGUACAACAACAACUACGACUCUAGUAUUCAGAUGGCCCUGUUUGAGGCCUUAUAUGGUAGGCAUUGUCGCUCUCCAGUUGGUUGGUUUGAGUCUACAAAACCUAGGCCGCGUGGUACAAAUUUGCUUAAGGAGGCCUUGGAUCAGGUAAGGGUGAUUCAGGAUAGGCUUAGAAUGGCUCAGAGUAGACAUCAGAGUUACGCGGAUCACAGGCGUCGGCCUUUCAGGUUUGUAGUUGGCGACCUGGUACUUCUCCGAGUAUCUCCCAUGAAGGGAGUGAUGAGAUUCGGGAGGAGAGGCAAGCUUAGCCCCAGGUAUAAAGGCCCUUUUCAGAUUUUGAGUGCAGUUGGCGAUGUUGCCUAUGAGUUAGGUUUACCUCUAGAACUAUCAGCUAUCCACCCAGUUUUCCAUGUUUCGAUGCUGCGUCGAUAUAUUCAAGAUGAGUCUCAUGUGCUCCAGUAUGAUUCAGUUGAGUUGGAUGAUCGUCUGACCUUUAUAGAGGAGUCGGUUGCCAUUAUAGCCAAAGAUGUCAGGCAGUUGCGGUCAAGAGACAUUCCUGUUGUUAAGGUCCAUUAGAGGCAUCGUCCAGUCAAGGAGGCUACCUGGGAGACCGAGCAGGAGAUGCGGGAGCAGUUCCCCAGCUUAUUUGAGCCCUCAGGUAUAUCCUUAUUCUUUCUUUCGCGGAUGAAAAUUCUUGUAGUAGUGGAUGUUAUAAUGACCCUCUUGCUAAUAACAAGACAUCCAAGGAGGUACCAAUUUUUUUCUUAUAAUUGUUCUUAUUCAACUUCUAUUGGAAUUAGAUUUUUUAUUUUUUUAGAACUUUUGGACAAACCUUCUAUGUAUAUUUUUGAGUAAGAAGGUUCACAAACAAAAGCCUAAGCAAUUCAUGAAUUCACAAGUAGUUAAAAGCCUGAUUUCCAUCUUAAUCUCAAGUAUUACGUCGUGCGAAUCUGAGUUAGUUGAGGCAGUGUACAACAUGGAUACAAGAUUAAACAGGCAAAAAUAACAAGGCAGGCAAACUUUUGAUGAUGAAAAUAUCUGAUUUAAGUUUUUUCUUUCGCUACUUUAAUGAAGAUAAAUUAUUCUUUACAUUUGGAUACUAAAGCGUAUGUCAUGUCUACUCCUCUCUAAAUAUCUUAGAGCCUAAUCAACUGUUAAUGACCAUAUUCAGGUCAUUGCAGCAUACCUAAUCUAAUAGCAUCUGUAAUGAACAAUCGAAUUUCCAGGCGGUUAGUAGUCAAUAGCUAAGAUCAUAGUUGAUUACUUGCCUCCAAGAAUCGAAGAGUCAACAUGAUCGAGCAAAAACCUAUAUAACUGGUAUACAAGCCUUUGAUAACACACACUCGAAGAAGGUUGUUAGUAGGUACAAUUGGAGGCUAGGAACUGGACCACAACUGACAUGGUGGAGACCAAUCUAAAAUACUUGCAACAUCCCAAAACAUGACUUUAUCUACUGGCUGGCUAUACAUGGAAUACUACUAACCAGAGAGAGGCUAUACAAGAUAGGACUAACAAAAGACAGAACUUGAACACUAUGUGGGAAUACCAACAUCACAAAUCACUUCUUCGAGUGUGUGAUAUCAAAGGCUUGUAUACAAGAAAUAACGCACCAAUUGAAGUUCACAUGUGGGAGCAUAGACAUAAAGGAAGCUGAAAAUUGAUAGCACAAACAGUGCAAGGCAAAGUUAGCAGGAAAUUGGUAUGGGCAAUCCUGACAGCUGCAAUAUCACACAUAUCAGAAGCGAGGAAUGAAGCAUUACGGAAACAUAACACCUUACUGAAGUAUUUCAGUAUGCAUAACACAUUACUGAUUCUUUCUAAAUCCCGGACAAUCAUCUGCCAAAUUCUACGACUGUGUUUCUUGAACUUCUUUAACAUCUCUCCCUAACACAUUCUUCGCCUCGUGCAACGUGGAUCUAUACUGAUCGUCAUCAUUCCCUUAAAUCCACCUCUUAUUUUCCAAAGUUAUGUUUCUAAUACUUAUUGUAAAUCAUACCAGAUAAAGUAAGCGUAAGAGUUAUAUGAGUCUUACCUUUUACUAAAUAAAUAGGAAAAAAAACAACACCUUCUGUCUAGCAAGUAUGAAAGCUGGAAUAGAUUUUAGGAGUAAGAGGAAGCAAAAAAGAGAAAAAAAAAAGGACAAAAAGUUGAAAGUUGGUUGAACUUCUGAGCACAAUGAACUUUUUCCUCAUCAAAAUGGUAUUUCAUUCAAUUCAAAUUAUGUGUUUUACUUUUCUUUUUGACUGUUUCAAAAGGAGCUUUAUUGAAAAGAAACUAUGUUGCUUCUAUGUGGUACUGUAAUUCCUUAAUAAUACAAAUCUUUGAUAUCAAGAAUUAAUAAAAUUUAGACCAAACCAUCCCUGAAUGACUAAAUACACCUGUGAGAAAUACAGGAAAAGAAUAUUAUUGACUUAUUGUUGUUUACAUUAUUACAUUGAGACCCUAUUUAUAGACCCUAGAAUACAAUCCUUUACCAAGUAGGAUACUAUUUAGUAUUUCUAUUUCUAUUUCUAUUCCUAUUCCUAUUCUAAUAGGAUUGUAUAAACCUAUUCAUAUUCUAACACUCCCCCUCAAGCUAGUGCAUACAAUUCAUGUACCUAGCUUGUUACAAAUGUAAUUAACACGAGGACCAAUGAGGGGCUUGGUGAGACAUCUGCGAGUUGAUCACUUGACUUCACAAAAUUGACAAUAAAUUUCAAUGUGCUUGAUCUUCUCAUGAAAUACUGAAUUUGAUGCAUAAUGCCGAUAAAACACAGAGUGAUAAAAUUACAGUGUUGGAACUUCCCAAACCAAACUUGCAAAGAUUGUUUCAGACCAUAGAGUGAUGUACGUAAUCAACAUACAAGGCUACUAAACUCCCCCUGAGCAACAAAAUUAGGUUGUGGAAAUCCCAAACCAAACUUGCAAAGAUUGUUUCAGACCAUAGAGUGAUGUACGUAAUCAACAUACAAGGCUACUAAACUCCCCCUGAGCAACAAAAUUAGGUGGUUGCUCCAUAUAGACUUCUUUACAAUGCAGCGGUCGUUGUAAGUGCUCAAAAUCUAGUAUAAAUUAUAUGGAUCAUGUUCGAAUCAAUCGACAGUUGAUAAUAAACAAGUCACCGAAAAACUGCCCGAAACAUGCUCAUAUGCCGGAGUAUUAGAUUUGAUGGGUAAAAGUGGUCACAAUCUAAGAAAUAAAAUUAUAUAGGUAGGGUCGGAAUGAUGUCACGACCCAACUAGAAAAUAGAAAUUAUAUAGGAUAGUUCGAAUUGAUGGAACGACCCCAUUGAAAAAUAGAAAUAAUAUGGGUAGGGUCGGAAUGAUGGCACGACCCUACUGAAAAAGAAAAUUAUACGGGUAGGUUGGAAUGAUGGCACAACCCUAUGCAAAUCAGAUUUAAGGAGUCACCAGAAAGACGAAUGGAACUAUGCAAAUCUAAUCUGAGGAGUCACUGAAAAGACACAUGAUGCUAUGCUACUCAGAUAUAAUAAAAUAGUUCGAAAAAAUCCACGAUACUACACAAAUUNNNNNNNNNNNNNNNNNNNNNNNNNNNNNNNNNNNNNNNNNNNNNNNNNNNNNNNNNNNNNNNNNNNNNNNNNNNNNNNNNNNNNNNNNNNNNNNNNNNNUACCAAGCAAAUAAUCAAAUUUCACCAACCAAAAGGUUUGUUAAGCUUAUUUAUAUCAUAGCCAUAGUUUUCCUUCCACAACCUCCAUAAGAAACUGAUUUUCAAACAUUGAAACAAAUUAAAAACCAGAAAUUGAAGAAAAGCAAUUCUUAUCAAUUUAGGAAGACGAAAUCUGAAAGGUAGGUCAAAACAAAUUGAGUAAUAUGCAGCAGAAUUGGCGAUAAAGGUAUUCCCAAUUUUCUGGAAAAUGGGAUAGAAUUACAAUGGAAUUGUGAAUAGGAAAUAUUACAGGAAUGGCAAAUUAUAGAUUUUCAGAAUUUGAAUUUGGUACCUUAUUAGAAUUUCUCCUUUCAUGGGAUAUAGUAUGCAAGCGAAAAAGAAAAGGACGACUUGGGAUCACUGAUUGUGUGUUAUGGAUGAAGCUGCAGCAGGAAAGUAUGUCUGGAAUAUAGCCAACAAAGUUGAUAACCUAUGAGUAAAAUGAAUGAACAAUGUGUAUAAAAGGGGCUGACUGAUGGGAAUAUACACCUAAAUAAAACAAUUGCUGGUACUAGAAGAAGAUUUGAGGUAUGAAGAACAGAUGUAGUGUUGGAAACUGUGGAAAUGGAUGAUUCAAGGCAUGAGGAAAAUACACAAUUAUAAAAUAACAAUUAUUUUGGACUAUCUAUUUUUAGUAAUUCGACAAGUAAAGUGGUUCGGAGGGAGUAUCUUUUCUUAAAUGUCAGCAUAGUAUUUAAUUUAUGAAUGUGCUACAGGCAAUGUGGGAAACCAUUCAAGCCAGAGAAACUUCAUGCCCACAUGAAGUCCUGCAAAGGGAUGAAAGCUCUGUGAAAGGGUGCUCAUUCUGUUGCUGCUACUAACAAGACAUCCAAGGAUGCACCUAAAUUUUUUUUAUAAUUAUUCUUAUUCAGCUUCUAUUGGAAUUAGAUUAUGUUUUUUUUAGAACUUUUGGAGAAACCUUCCAUGUAUAUUUUUCAGUAAGAAGGUUCAGAGACAAAAGCCUAAGCAAUUCAUGAAUUCACAAGUAGUAAAAAUCCUGAUUUCCAUCUUAAUCUCAAGUAUUACAUCCUGCGAAUCUGAGUUAGUUGAGGCAGUGUACAACAUGGAUACAAGAUUAAACAGGCAAAAAUAACAAGACAGGCAAACUUUUGAUGAUGAAAAUAUCUGAUGUAAGUUUCUUCUUUCGCCAGUUUAAUGAAGAUAAAUUAUUCUUUACAUUUGGAUACUGAAGCAGUAUUUCAUGUCUACUUCUCUCUAAAUAUCUUAGAGCCUAAUCAAUUGUUAAUGACCAUAUUCAGGUCAUUGCAACAUACCUAAUCUAAUAGCAUUCGUAACGAACAAUCAAAUUUCCAGGCGGUUAGUAGUCAAUAGCUAAGAUCAUAGCUGAUUACUUGCCUCCAAAAAUCGAGGAGUCAACAUGAUCGAGCAAAAACCUAUAUAACUUGUAUACAAGCCUUUGAUAACACACACUCGAAGAAGGCUGUUAGUAGGUACAAUUGGAGGCUAGGAACUGGACCACAACUGACAUGGGGGAGACCAAUCUAAAAUACUUGCAACAUCCCAAAACACGACUUCAUCUACUGGCUGGCUAUACAUGGAAGACUACUAACUAGAGAGAGGCUAUACAAGAUAGGACUAACAAAAGACAGAACUUGAACACUAUGUGGGAAUGCCAACAUCACACAUCACUUCUUCGAGUGUGUGAUAUCAAAGGCUUGUAUACAAGAAAUAACGCACCGAUUGAAGUUCACAUGUGGGAGCAUAGACAUCAAGGAAGCUGAAAAUUAAUAGCACGAAGAGCGCAAGGCAAAGUUAGCAGGCAAUUGAUAUUGGCAAUCCUGACAGCUGCAAUAUCACACAUAUCGGAAGCUAGGAAUGAAGCAUUAUGGAAACAUAACACCUUACUGAAGCAUUUCAGUAAGCAUAACACAUUACUGAUUCUUUCUAAUGCCCGGACAAUCACCUGCCAAAUUCUACAACUGUGUUUCUUGAACUUCUUUAACAUCUCUCCCUAACACAUUCCUCGCCUCGUGCAACGUGGAUCUAUACUGAUCGUCAUCAUGCCUUAAAUCCACCUCUUUUUUUCCUAAGUUAUGUUAUUGUAAAUCAUACCAGCUAAAGUAAGCUUAAGAGUUAUAUGAGUCUUACCUUUUACUAAAUAAAUAGGAAAAUACACAACACCUUCUGUCUAGCAAGUAUGAAAGUUGGAAUAGAUUUUAGGAAUAAGAGGAAGCAGAAAAGAGAAAAAAAAAAAGGACAAAAAGUUGAAAGUUGGUUGAACUUCUGAGCACAAUGAACUUUUGCCUCAUCAGAAUGGUAUUUCAUUCAAUUCAAAUUAUGUGUCUUACUUUUCUUUUUGAUUGUUUCAAAAGGAGCUUUAUUGAAAAGAAACUAUGUUGCUUCUAUGUGGUACUGGAAUUCCUUAAUACUACAAAUCUUUGAUAUCAAGAAUUAAGAAAAUUUAGACCAAACCAUCACUAAAUGACUAAAUACAUCAAAAGCAAGGAGUAAGACACUGAGAAGGAUAAUAAUUGUAGUUUUACAAGUUUAUAUCCUACUCCCUUGGUCUUAAAAUCUAUAAAUUUUGUGAUAAGAAGGAAUUUUCUCUUUAUCUAUACUUAGGUAUUGGCAAUGAUUCCUCUCUAUAAGGUAGUAUAGCAUUUUCUACACUCUAUCCAAUAAGCUUAGGAAGCAGCUAAAGUGUAAAGUAUAGGCCAUGUUUCAUACUAACUUUUUUAUGAGGUAAGGUAUUAACUAAUAUAUCAUGGUAUAAAUAAAACAUAAUAGGUAUAAACUAUCACUUGUUAAACAUGGACUUUAAGUUGGAGAAAUAAAAAUAAAAAUAUAACUUAAGUUGAAAUUUUGAUGGAUCUCAAUCUUUGUUGCAUCAUAAAGAAAAAUAUGCAAAGUUAGAUACUAAAUCUUAAGUUGACAUUUUGAUGGAUCUCAAUCUUUGCUGCAUCAUAAAGAAAAAUAUGCAAAGUUAGAUACUAAAUGCUACAUAUUUAUAUAUUUAAUACAAACAAAUUAAAAAAUACUUAUCAUAUAAGUUUGAGUUACUUCUAACCUUGGUGGCGAAGAGCGAGAAAGAAGUUGCAUUUUUCUAAACAUUUCCUCUUGGCGUAGUAUUCAAUUGAGAAUUUAAUGAUUGUAUUUGAGAUUCUAAACAUUUCCUCUUGGCGUGCCACUAUAAUAUUCAAUUGAGAAUUUAAUGAUUGUAUUUGAGAUUGUUGGUCUUAUAUUUGAGAUUGCUGGUCUUCUAUUUGAGACUAGUGAUUAUCUACGACAAUUUCAACUGCAUUUAAUCGAUUCUGUAAUUCAAGUUGGGCACUAACAACUUCAUGUUUCACCUUUUUGAGGGAGUCUUCUAACUCUGUCGUUCUCCUUGCCUUUUUGAGGGAGUCUUCUAACUGUUCUCCUUUGUGUAGAUCUUGUAGUAUUAGGUUUUGGACCAUAACCAAGUCCUUUUAUGUACCCCGACUUUGUACCAAGUAUAGUAUCCACAAUUUCAUCAAUAGUAAUGGAAGACUCUCCCUAUGUAUAUAGAUCUUUCAAAUCUGUCAUGUUGUUCUACAUAAACAUAUUAAAAUUAUUUAAAGGAGAAUGCACAACUUUUGAAUAACAUUAAUUUGACAAAUCCAAUGAGAAUGUUAUAAAAGAUGAAAAGUAAUUUCUUACAUAGUGAGUCUCAGCCUCUAAAGAUGACCAUCCUUUCUCACUCGUGUAAUGAGUAUGCUUAUAGAACUCGAUUUUGUCAGGCUCUACUCCUUCCGGGUUAGUUUUACCCUGUGAAAUAAGAAACAAUUGAAAUAAUACUAAAGUUUCAUUAGUCAAAACAAUAAAAAUGGUAUAAUUUACAAGUUCAGGCGGGCCUUUCAGCACGAGCCGCUACAAACGCUUUUGACCCCAUGAAAUGAUUACACUUAAGCUUAGUUUGAUUGGCCUUGUUUAUGUCGCAUCGUUUCUACAAAUAAAAUACAAAAUACUGUAACUUAAAUAACAACGAGAAUAAAAUCAAUAUAAAUUACCUUAUGCUCUGGAUUGAUCCACAUGUCACAAAGCCUAUUCCAAUUUUCUCGGGUCAACUCUGGCACUUCGAUCUUACGAGCUUCUUCUUCAGAGCGUGCAUUUUCAAAUAGUUGUUUUAACUUGUAGCGCCAUUGUCGGCUUCUGUUUUUCAGAAUAUCCUCACAACUAUCUUUCACGUAAUGCUCAUCCAAAUUAAUCUCAAACCUCUCCUAAAAUUCAAAUAAGUAUUAUAGAAAAAUACAGAACGAGCAAAAUCCCUUUAAUAUUAAAUAUUAAUCAUUACAUUUGCAAACAUACUAAUUAACUUCAAACUUAAGUACCCUUUGUGAAUCAUAUAUUGCAGUUCAAAAACUUUAUUUAUUCUCGUAAACAGUGUUCUUGAUAGCCGAGCUACAUACAUAAUAUCACUCUUUUCUAUUUCCAGUAAGGUAAUGUCACGAAUUGAUAAGUUAAGGAUAGACUUUUUAUGACAAGGAAAUAAAAAAAAUCAUGUAUUUCAUCUUCUCAAGAUCAUUAAUCCAAAUACCUUGAAGGCUUAGGUAUUAGGAACCUGGCAGGACAUAAUAGAAUCUGCUAAUGAAAUGGCUAUGGAGGUUCAAUAAUUAAGAUGGUGCUUUCUGAAAAGAAAUGCUUUUUUGUAAAAAAAUGAAAUACUAUCACACUUGUCCACUGUUGUAUCAUAGCUCCAUAUGUUUUUUGUACAUGGAAGAGCAUGGCAAAACUAAGGAAUUAAUUUAAUCAGCAAUGCAACUGCAAACCAGGUAAUGACAUUCACUUUAAAUAUUGGGAGGAUAAAUGAUCAAAGAACACUACUCUCCUAAGUGACUUCCCUACUCUAUUCUCAAUAGUCUCUGAUCCAACCUCUAUUAUCUCCUAGAACAGAGAAAAUAAAUAUAUGGAUGCAAUUGUCCAGAACAAAUUUUCAUUAUUGAAAGUUGCUACUAUUACUAUCAAAACUAGAAUGUUGCCCUCAAAAUAAUCACAGGCCAAAUAAAAUCAAAUGGUGUAGAAAGACAGAUGGACAAUACACGGUGAUGAAAGCAAGGAAUCUUCAUUAUGUGCUCAAAAUGAUAUAAUAGAUAACUGCCUUGAAAACUCAUUGGGAAGACCAAAACCCCUAGUUCAAAAGGUGCUUUAAUGGAAUAUCAACUACAAUCUAUAGCUUAAGAUCAAUUAUGUUUUAACUUUAUAUUGUUAGACUAUGGUUAGAUCCGUUAGACUCUAAUGUCAAUCUUUUGGACUUUGUAAACUCUUUAGUCCUAGCAUAGGAUACUUUUAAAUGAGCUUACAAUCUCACUACUUGUGUAUCUAUAUUACUUGAAUCUUUUUUAUGCCAUUUAUCCCAUUUCUUACUUUAUCAAGAAAAUGUAGUUCAUUUCUGUGUACUCUUGAGCCAUAUGAAAUAAGAUUUUACACUAAUAAAGAGUGUCGAAGCAAGCAUUAAAAUGGUCUAAGGAGUUGGAGUAGGCACGAACAAAUGCUUAAGGCAAAACCUCUACAGUUGCAAACUAUAGAAGUAUUGAUCCUCCAGUUGUUAUCUUCUUUAGAUGACCCCUUAGAAAAAUUUUAGGAAGGAAGCUUGAAUGAUUGUAUACAACUAGUUGUUUUUUUCCAUAUCAAGUAGUGGAUAUGAUGCAUAGAUAGUUUAUUUUCUAGUUUGUUAGUUAUUCGUAGUAAAAUUCUUGUUAAUUUUUUUUUAUAAAAACAGGAAAUAAGACAAAAGAGACCAUUAGUUAACUUACUAUUAGAUAUCGAUGGAGAUACAUAUCGCCAAGUAGUUUUCCAAAAAAAUAAGAUGAAUGAAAAAUAGCGGUACCCAAAAAAGAACUCAAUAUAAUCACUACCAUGAAUAAAUUUACAAGAGUAUAGAAUCCUUACAUGGCAUCUAAUUAGUGCUGCAUCUUUGUCCUCUCGUGUGAGUUCUUUUCCACUUGUUUGGAAGCAAAAGAAAAUUCCGAGCAAUUAUCCCUAGCUCAUUGGAUAGUUUUUUCGAUUGAUCUAGUUUAGUUGCCCUUCCUUUACCAACUGGGAUCUCUAUUUUCAUCUUUCUUCCUUGAGCCUUCUUCAUUUUUUCAAGACCUUUCCCUCUAGUCUUGCCAUGACCGUUCCUGAUUCUAGUGGAAUCAUCUGAUGAAAAAAAGUCAGUUCAAAAUACAACCUAUAAUCUUAAAAACUUACACGUAUGACAGUAAGGCACAUGAUGAAAACUAACACAACUGCAUUUUUUUAAUUUAUUGUAUAUUAAUGAGCAACUGAGUCAAAAAAUUCACCGAUAAAACAAAGAGAACAUACGAGAGCUAACAACAUCUAUUUUGAUCAUUUCUAUCAUGUUUGCUGAUUAUAUGUUCGCCCAUAUUACAUAAAUGUUGUUGGAUUUCAAAGAUGUAGAUUACAACAACUAUAUAUUCAGAAAAAGGUUCAAAUUGUGCAUAUAUUGAUAGAGUAGGUAACUUUACAUACCUAAUUUUUAUGCCAUGAUGAGCAAAGAAGAGUUAGCCAAACAUAAACAAACUCUAAAUAGUAUAAGGUAUCAUGAAUAAAUGCUUACAUGUAAUCUAUGCCAGCAUUUUCAACUUCUUAGAGUCAAUUUGUGUAGCUUUUAUAGCAUAUUGAUAAAGCAAAAACAAUUGCAAUUGCUCAUACAAACAACCAAUGACUUUCAUGUUAUGAAAAAUGCACCUAAGAUUAUGGAUGAUGUGAUGAAACACUUCUUUUAAAAUGUUAAAAUAUCAUAGAUAACUUCAAGAUUUAAAUCCACAAAUCUUGAGUUGAUGAUUGAAUUACAAAAAUAACAGCCAAGAUCAUCAUAAGAAUCAUUCGAGUAACUCGGAAGUACAUGUAAAAGAGGAGAUUAAAUUAAAGAAGAUAAUAGAAAAGACAAAUUAAACCUGCAUACAAUAGCUCAAUAUCAGAUACUCAGAUAUUGAGCUAUCGUUCAUAUUUCUCGUAACAAGUUUAACAUAAAUAAAAAUUUCAAUGGUUAAUGUUUUCGGUUCCAACUUAGUCAAUAACUAAAUAAAGUAAUCCUAAUCACUAUAAUUAAAUGUAUUACUUGUAUUCACAGCAAGAGUAUCAUUAUUUGAUUCAUCUAGUGAUUGAGUAUCUUGAAUUGUUUCCCCUGUAACUGUAGUUUGCUUGAAAACACAUCCACCCGGUGCCAUCAAUUUGCAGAAUUCUAUCAAAACAGAAAAUGUAAGUUUAGAAUGUUAAUAACAUAUAAAAUCCAAUGGUUUAACAAAAAUAGUUAUGUAAAGGCACCAAUCAUUGACAACUAAAGGAAAAUAAAAAAAGAACAUAAUCAUUAGUUCAGAAAAUCUUGCACACGCCAUUUAUUAAUAUAUAAGAGUUUACUGUCUAUCGAACUAUUGAAGAAUCUCUAGAAGAUCAAAUGACUAGUAUAACAUAUCAAAGAUAUAUUUAUGCCGGAACUAUGUCCAAAUUUGAAGACACAAUAACUUUUUCGAAAGCUUAUAUAAGAGAAGGUCUUAAGAAAACGUUGUAGAUCUAAAAAAGGCCGAGCCUCGUGAAGAAAUGCCUAUUGUUUUUAGCAAAAAGAUUAAUUGUCCUACAGAAUAUUCAUCUCAAAUGAUGUUGGUUCAGUUCAUCCGAAUUCAAAGUUCCAUCAACCUAUCCUAACUCAAGUUCAAGAAGCAUAAUUUGACAGGCUUGAGUACCAUGUUUCACAAUCCAUCCUAUCCUCCUUUGAAAUCUGAGGGAGAACAUCAAUAUAUGAACAAACCAGAGGAAAAGUUGUUCCAAAAGAAGUCUUGAAUAGUGUAUACUUCACUAGUAUGUUUCACACACAAACUGUAAAUAUGCACACCACACGAAACUGUAAU
rnacentral:lncRNA from 1 species